AGUAAUUCAAAUCAUAAACAGAUGUUAUGUUGGCAGGUAGCUGAGCAUUAUGAGCAGGUGAUUGCGACUGAUGUGAGCGAAGCCCAACUGAAAUGUGCCAUUCCACAUCCCCGGGUCAAAUACCUUCACACCCCCUUAUCUCUCCCCGAUGAUGAAAUAGUGAGGUUGAUAGGGGGCGAGGGCUCGGUUGAUUUGGUGACUGUGGCUCAAGCUGUCCACUGGUUCGACCUCCCAACCUUCUACCCUCUAGUAGCUCGCCUGCUAAGAAAGCCAGGGGGUGUAUUUGCUGUUUGGGGCUACAAUGACAUUGCAGUUAGUCCUACGUUUGACCCAGUGAUGAAGCGCUUCCACGACACCACUCUUCCCUUCUGGAAUGAAAAGAUCCAAUACAUAUUUGAUGGGUACAAGACUCUGCCGUUCCCUUUUGAGAGUGUGGGCUUGGGGUGUGAGGGCCAGCCAGUGUCACUGGACAUACCCAAGAAGUUGUCAUUUGAUGGGUUUUUGAGGAUGUUGAGGUCAUGGUCUGCAGUAACCACGGCUAAGGACCGAGGCAUAGACCUGUUAUCGGAACGGGUGGUGAAAGAGUUUGAAACUGCCUGGGGUGGCUCCCGGGUGGUUCCAUCAGUCACCUACAACGCUUUUAUGCUUGCAGGGAAAGUCAAGCUGUAACCGUCAGUCUCUAAUAACCCACCUUCUUGUUGUACUGCUUCAAAUAAACUCUCUAAACAGCAGUUUUCUUUCUUGUUGAGGAAUUGUUUUACCAGAACAGAAUGAGGUGAGGUUAAAAAUCUAGUCCAAUUUCAUCUGAAAGUGCAAUUUCUGGCCAUAAAUUAAGGAACGUUGUGAACUACUUGUGUGAUUAUUGCAAUUACCUACCAUAAGCUUUCAUUUUGGCAGGGGGUUAAAAACAGUUUUUAUUCUUCAAAAAGAAAAAAAAAAGUUCUUCAAUUUUUAAAAUCACAUUUGAAGAAUUUUGUGCUGAAAAUAGUGUUUUUUUAACCCCAGAAUCAACAUAUUAUAAUAUAUAUAUAUAUAUAUAUAUAUAUAUAUAUAUAUAUAUAUCUAAAACAAAAUAAAAUUUUAAAAAUAAAUUUAAAGUGUCUGAAAUAUUUUCUUAUAGUAUUUUAAGAAAUAAUUAAAAAUACAAUGAAUAGAUGGAGAAUAUUGAGAAUAGGGUUGCCAAUGAGACAGGGAUUUUUUGGAUACCUACCUUCAAUAUUCCACUUUUCUAUUAUGAUAAAUCAUAGUAACUAAGAUAUUUUUCAUAUUGAAAAUAAUAAUUAUAUAAUAUAAUUUAUAUUUUCAAUAUGUAUCUUAAAAUGUGAUAGGUUUGUAAUAUAACAAGUUCUUUAUUUUUUAAUCUUUAUUUGUUUAUUUUUUUAAAAACUUAUCAAUACCUCUUAUUAUUAUUACUAUUUAUCUUAAUUUUGUAAAAGACAAUUAUUUAAAAUAAAGCCAAUAUUUUUUUUUAUCCUAAUCUCCUUUUUCAAAUAUAAUAUUGCAUAUAUUGUGAUUUAAUUAAUCAUUGACAUUGUUUUAGCCAUUAUUUUUAUUUUUAAGAGAUAAUGUCGAAUUUAGAGAAUUCAUUUUGAAUCCGUUGAUUUCUAUGUUUAUUUGUGAGUUUGAUGUUGGGUUGUCUAUUUCUCAUUUAUUUGAUUUGGUAUGAGAAUAAUUUGAUUUCCUUUCAACUAUAUCGUGUCUUUGAAGGUUAUUUUUUUUUUUCUCGUCUUUAUGUCUAAUCUCGGUUUCUUUUCCUACCAUUUAUAAGCAUAUAGGGGGAUUUUUCUGGUUUCUCGGGAGCAAGAGAAGUGUAUUGGGAAAUACUUCUGAGGUAAGUUCACUCCAUAUUCCUUGUUAUCUUCGAUUUUACACUGUUCAUAAUUUUUUUCUGUUAUGUUUGAGAGUUAUUUGUUGACUCUAUGUAUGUACUAGAAAAUUCAUUUUAAAUUCUUUAAUUUCUAUGUUUCCUUGUGAGCUUGAUGUUGGGUUGUCUAUUUUGCAUUACCAUUUCUCAUAUUCUUCGUACCCUCAAAACUUUAUAUUUUUUUUAAAUUUUUUUUUUUCACUUGUAAAUGGAAUAAUAUUGUUUAUUCAUACUAACUAGGCUUAGAAAUUAUUUAAAAAAAAAUCAAAUAUGAAAAAAUUUAAGACGGUACAAAGAAUGUGACAAAGGUUUCUCACAUUCUUUGUACCCAAUGAUGAAAAUAUCGGUAAUCACGGAUAUAUCGGUAACUUGAUUUUACGGAUAUAUCGGAUAUAUCGGUGAAAUAUCGACGGAUAUUUUGAAAAAAAAUUUUGAUAAGUAAAAAAUUGAUCAAAACUUAUGGAAAUGUAAAAAAACCUCGUGUUAAUGUAAUUAAAAAUAUAAUAAAUAAUUUAAAGUUGUUUUUGUGAAGAAUUUGAUAUAUAUAUAUAUAUAUAUAUAAUAUGAUUUGUGAUAUUAAGCAUAAUUAUAUUAUAUUAGUUGUACUUAUACACUCAUUAUGAAGUUUCAUGACAAACUUAUUUUAGUAAAUAUCAAUAAUUUAUACAUAUUAUCACAUAGCUUGAGGUUCAAUUUUGACUAUUGGAUCACAUCCAGUUUCAAUUUGGACCAUCCAAUGCACUGGGGUCCAAAUUGAAAUAUCAAUAAAAUAUUUUAUUUAAGAUCUAAUUUCUAAAAUUUUAUUAAAAAUACGUGGUAACAACUUUCUUUUAUUAACAUUAAUUUAUUUAAAUAAUUAAAAUUAUUAAUAAUUUAUCUUAUUAAAUUAAUUUUAAUCCAUAGUAGUGAUUUAAUCAUAAAUAAUUAAUAAUUAUUUAUAUAGAGAGAGGAAAAUUGUUCUCAUGAUAUGUUUCCUUUUUUUUUUUUAAUCUCUACUAAAUCUAAAAAUAAAAAGGCCACCCACUUCUCUCACUCGGGCAUCAAGAAGCCCGAAGCCCUUUUCUGAAGUUGCCCUCCAGACGAGAGAAUCCCUAAAAAGGCCCUAUUUUCCUCUGCCACUCUCAAUCCUCCCCGGUACUAAUCUAAUCUUGUUAUUUAUUUUCAUUUUUCUGCAACCCCGUUUGAUUCCCAUGAAAAUCCAUCCGCCAUUCGAUUUCUGGGAAAAUUCAUCCUCGUUUGAUUUCCGAGAAAAUCCAUGCAAAACCCCCCAGGAAAACCAGAAAGAUUGCUUUUUAUUUUUUGCUUCCUGUGUUUUCUGGAUCUGUUCUAGGGGUCGCUUUGCUUUUGUGCCAUUGGAUUUAAAUUUCACGAACCCUAAAUCCACGAUUUUUGAGCCAGGCUAAAAAACACAACCUUUGCCUGCAAAUCAUGAUCAGAUUUUGUCACCUGUGCGCGGGCUGGACUGGUAGGAAAUAUCGGGAAAUUUUCAGAAAAAUCGGUAAAAAAUCGGCUAUACAAACCGAAAAUUCGCCGAUAAAUUGCAGUGUCCGGCUAUUUUUUGAAGAUUUCGCCGAUUUUCGUCUGCAUCCAUUUUUCGGCAAUUUUUUCGCCGAUUUUAACCGAAAUUUGGCGAAAUUUCUCCCAUCGACAUUUCGCCCCCCUCUUUCGUAUCGCCGACCACCGAAACCCGAAAUUUCGGCGAAAAAAAUGGAAACUUUCAUCCUUGUUUGUACCUCAAAUUUUUACAUUUUUUUCAAUUUAAUUAUUUUUUAUACAUCCACAGUGGUCAACAAUAUUUUUUACCUUAAUGAACGUCGCUUUUCGUAAAAGGCAUCAGCCCCGAGAGCAAAGGCAAGCAAAUGAAAUAUAAAAACGGAGUGGCACCGGCACAUUCCCCAUAACAAGAAUAGGGAAGAAUGGCAGGGCUGUUCAACAAGCAGGCGGAGAUCUACUUGGAUGCUCGCCCUAAUUAUCCCCCACACUGGUAUUCUAUGUUGGCCGCUCUCACUCCACAACACUCUUUGGCUUGGGAUGUCGGCAUGGGCAACGGUCAAGCAGCUCUCGGUGUCAGUCCUUUCUCCUGCCUCUCUCCCUGUCUCUAAUUUUAUUUGAUUAAACUCAUCUUUAUUUGCUCAUGUUGUGAUUUAUUUACCCUAAAUCACCUGAUGCGGUUCCUUUUAAUUUUUCUCUACACCUAUGAAAUAGAAAAUUUUAGAUUGAUUAAUUCCUUUUCCUGCAUUUUCCUUCAGCAUAUUAGAUUUAUUUUCUUGGGCAUAUUGAUGUUAAAAGUGCCAAUUAAAUUUACUCAUGGAGAAAAGGGGUUGUGAUGAAGCAAUUCAAAUCAUAAACACAUGUUAUGUUGGCAGGUAGCUGAGCAUUAUGAGCAGGUGAUUGCGACUGAUGUGAGCGAAGCCCAACUGAAAUGUGCCAUUCCACAUCCCCGGGUCAAAUACCUUCACACCCCCUUAUCUCUCCCCGAUGAUGAAAUAGUGAGGUUGAUAGGGGGCGAGGGUUCGGUUGAUUUGGUGACUGUGGCUCAAGCUGUCCACUGGUUCGACCUCCCAACCUUCUACCCUCUAGUAGCUCGCCUGCUAAGAAAGCCAGGGGGUGUAUUUGCUGUUUGGGGCUACAAUGACAUUGCAGUUAGUCCUACAUUUGACCCAGUGAUGAAGCGCUUCCACGACACCACUCUUACCUUCUGGAAUGAAAAGAUCCAAUGCAUAUUUGUUGAUGGUUACAAGACUCUGCCGUUCCCUUUUGAGAGUGUGGGGUUGGGGCGUGAGGGCCAGCCAGUGUCAUUGGAUAUACACAAGAAGUUGUCAUUUGAUGGGUUUUUGAGGAUGUUGAGGUCAUGGGCUGCAGUAACCACGGCUAAGGACCAAGGCGUAGACCUGUUAUCGGAACGGGUGGUGAAAGAGUUUGAAACUGCCUGGGGUGGUUCCCAGGUGGUUCCAUCAGUCACCUACAAGGCUUUUAUGCUUGAAGGGAAAGUCAAAAGAGUCUCUACUAACCCACCUUCUUCUUGUACUGCUUCAAAUAAACUCUCUAACCAGUAGUUUUGUUUCUUGUUGAGGAAUUGUUUUACCAGAACAGAAUGAGGUUAAAAAUCUAGUCCAAUUUUCAUCUAGAAGUGCAAUUUCUGGCCAUAAAUUAAGGAACGUUGUGAACUAGUGAUGUGCUGGUGUUUGUGAGAUUAUUGCAAUUACCUACCAUAAGCUUUCAUUUUGGAAAGGGGUUAAAAACAGUUUUUACUUUUUAAAGUCACAUGUGAUGAAUUUUGUGCUGAAAUAGUGUUUUUUUUAACUCAAGAAUCAACAUAUAUAUUUUUUUAAACAAAAUAAAAUUUUAAAAUAAAUUUAAAGUGUCUAAAAUAUUUUCUUAUAGUAUUUUAAGAAAUAAUUUAAAAUACAACGAAUAGAUGGAGAAUAUGGGGAAUAUGGAUGACAAUGAUGCGGGUUUUUUCAUGUAUUUACCUUCAAUAUUUCACUUUAAUAAUAAUAACUAAGAUAUUUUUCAUUUUGAAAAUAAUAAUUAUAUGAUAUAAUUUAUAUUUUCAAUAUGUAUCUUAAAAUGUGAUAGGUUUUUAAUCCUUAUUUGUUUAUUCUUUUAAAACUUAUCAAUAUCUCUUAUUAUUGUUACUAUUUAUCUCAAUUUUGUAAAAGAACAAUUAUUCAAAAUAAAACUCGAAUUAGCCAUCAACCCAACCAAUCCCUUAAGUUUCAACUUACUAUUAGGAUUUUAUUUCUUCUUCUUCUAAUUUCUUCUCCUUCUAAUUCCUUUAUUCUAUAACACACUUUCUACAACAUGAUAUCUUCUUUUUCAAAUACACUAUUGCAUAUAUUGUGAUUUAAUUAAUCAUUUCUUUUGCUUUAGCCAUUAUUUUUAUUCUUUAAGAGAUAAUGUCUUAUUAUAUUUUAAUGUAAUAAAUUGUGUUAAAUCCUUAUUUGUCUUCUAGUAAAAAUAAUAUUGUUAUUAUAAAAUAUGAAAAUUUGUUAUAUUACAACUUGUGAAUGAGUGUGAACCCACAUUUCAUGUACAUUCCAAUUUGAUAAUUUUGAUUUUUGAAAAUUUGUACUCGUCACUUAUUUUAAUUUAUUUUUAAAAGGGAAAACAAAAUAAGAAAGAAAAUCUUAUUUAACUCCUUAUUUAGAAAGAGGACAAGUCUGCAAACCAAAAACGGAUUCGAGGUCAAGUUGCCUAUUGAGAAGGUAUGAUAAUAAGCCGUACGUAGCAUCCCUCUAAGCCUAUCUACUUACGGUCUCUACUUAACCAAUAAAGAGAAUUAUGACAAUUAAUUAAUUAAUCAUGGAAUACCACAAAAUAACAAUAAUACAAGUGUACAUGCAAUAAUGCAAUAGCAAAUCACAAGAAUACACAAAGUUCAUGUAUGAUAAAUAGAUAAAUGAUUUAUUAGAAGAAAUUCUUAUUAUUUCUAAUAUCACAAUGUAAUUUCAAAGAAUUUCCAAAAAAAUUUAUGCACGAGAAAACAAAGUAAAGAUAUCAAUGAUUUAUAGAGAAUGUAUUUCUUACUCACAUAUAAUUUUAAACCUCAUGCCUAUAAUAAAUGAAGUCAACAUUGUUCAUUUCUCCUCCUCUUUCAUCUUCUAAGAAAACCCUGUGUUGAAGAUUGCAAAAUUUUUGUCUUACUUUCUUCGCAUAAGAAAAAUUUUCUUUUGAAAAACAAGUAUGAAAAAAAAUACCGUAGACGCCUAGCUUUUUUCCCUUCAAAUACCUUAAACGGCCUCUUGCCAUAAGUGAGUAAAACAACAUGUACUAUUUAGCAUCAUUCUUUGAAAUAUUAUUUUCAAAAUAUGUUUUUCAAAAAUUUCUCUUUCUCAUGAGUACUUGUAGUGGUUAAAGUUUUGUUUUAUUUUCUCAAGAAAUCUCAUAAAGAUCUUGAAAGAUAGAAGAGAAAAAGGAACACACCGAAGAUUUCAUAUAUUAUAAACUUUGGUUUACAUUACAUGCUUUCAGAAAUACAAAGAGAGAGGCUUAGAAAGUCAUACCUAAGAAGGCAAAGUUCUUCUCAUUUGAACACAAUUGUUCUCUAUUUAGAAUGCUCAUGCCUCAAACAUACAAAAGGGGCCUUGUUUAUAUUUGUGAAACCAAGGUUUGGUUAAUAUCGGUUUUGAUGAUAACAAAACAAGGUUUAGAACUAAUGAUUAUAUUUCAAGUGUGAUUAGGCAAGAUGAUUUCCAAAGUGACAAUCACAAAAACAAAUCAAGCCAAAGAGAAAUCAUGAAGAAGAAGAAGACCUUAAGGAGAAGUGAUUUUCAAGACCCAAGCUUCAUAAGAUCUCUUUGCAAGGUUGUUGGUGCACUAGGAUUUUCAUGCAUUACAUUCUUUACUUAUGCACCAAAAUCAUCCAAGAGUUUUUUGUAUUUUAAAUCCUUUAAAUUGGAUGAUUUCAUGUUUUCAACUAAAACCUUGUGUCAAAUUUUUUCCAAAUUUGUUUAAACGGUUUCAAGUUGAAAAGGUUGGUUAUUGAGCAAAAAACGGUUCAACCGGUUGAACCAGAAGAGGAACCGGUUGACCCCCAACUCAACCGAUCAAGGAGUGCAAAAAACCUUCUCUCUCUUCUAGAAUGGUUGUUCAACCGGUUGAGGUCCAGUCAAGGGGCGAUCGAGGUCCAACGGUCACCUACCAAGCAUUAAAUGCUAACAGCUAGUCAACCGGUUGACCCCCAGCUCAACCGAUCGAACCCCCAAUGGUUAGUUUGACCUUUUUCCUCUAUAAAAAGGCUUCAAUAUUCAUUGUUUCUUGAGCGUAACCUUCCUAAAUCUUUCUUGAAUAUAUUUAAGCCUUGAGAGAGUAUUUUUAAGUUCACCAUUGUUCUAAAACUUGCAAUAUCAUUAGUGCACCAUUCAAUCCUAGUUUUCUUGUAUCAUUUGAGCUUUAAAUUUUUGUACUAGGAUUUUGUAAGAUUCUUUAUUAUCUUCAUUUGUAAAUCUUUGAGAGGAAGAAUCUAAGUGUGGGGUAUCACUUGAGGGGUUAUUCAAGAGUGAGGUAUCUCUUGAGGUUUGUAAAGGGUGCUUGGAGCCAAAAGUCCAAGAGGGUGAAUUGGAACCAUAAUCCAAUUGUAUUGUUUGAAGACUUGGUUUGGAAGCCUUAAAUUAGAAGAACCUCAAGCUUGGGAUGGAAGCUAGAGGAGAGUGAAUGUAGGCCCGGUUGUGCCGAACCAAUAUAAAAAUAUUGUGUUUGCAUUCUCUCUUCCCUACUCUUUUACUUUAUAUGCAUUUUUUUAUAUUGUUUUAUUAUAUAUUUGCAUAUAAUUGUCUCUUGCAUUCAUACAAUUUAAAUUUUCAAAAAGAGACCAUCACCCUAUUCACCCCCCCUUUAGGGUGAUUACCUUAUACUGGAUUAACCUAAUUUUUCUAACAAUAUUGAUAGGGGAAUGGACAGAUCCCAUCCUCACCUUACAAGUGUAUGGCCUAGAUCUAUUAACAAAAGAUAGCUCUGACACAUAAUGGAGAUGUGUGUUGGAGGGUUGUAGUCAAUCAAUCCAUUUUCAUUAGAGAAUGUAUUCCUUUUACUUGGAUAAACGAAUACAAGAUAGGACUCCUACACAUGUUCGAUAGGCUUUGGAUGGUUCUGGACCACGGUCCUUAAAGACGAAAACUUAAGUUGUUGAGGGUGUCAGCAACGUCGCUACAGUUAGCCUCCGAUUCUUGAGGUGAUACACUACAAGGUCGGCUACAGUUGACAAUCACAUCCUUGUAACAUUGGACAAGUCUUCUAAAAUAAGUGCCCUGAUAGUAGGGGACCUCAAUGAUAGGAAUCCAUGAGUGGAUUUUGAGUGCUUUGUCAGAAUAGAUAACAUGCUCACCAAUGGUAGAAGAAAACUUUAGAUUGGUGGCAAUCUCAAAGCUUCUCCAAUGUUUGAUAUGUUUUUAAGCAGAGUUUAUGCAUGACCACGUGGUUUCACAAGAGAUUAGGCCAGGAUUUAAAGAGUGAUUAUUGAUAAGAAUCCUAUGUUGAGUAUGGCAGGCGUGUCCUUCAUAGCCCAAAUCACUUCUAAAUUCUAGUGCUUUGCUCUUGAUAAGGACUUCAAUGAAUGGCUUUGAUGGCAUUACUUCCCAAGCAAACAAGAUACACCAUGAAAGCGCAUAGUCAAAUUUAUAGUCUGAUUUGCUGACAAAAAAAUGGUUUGAUAGAGGUGUCCAUAGUCCAUUAAAAUUGAUGUUGUUAGUUGAACCUCCAUAUCUUCAUGAGUCACCAUAGGAGGGUUUUUAUAUUCAUUGAGCAAAAUAGAAGCACGAGACACUGAAUACUAAAGUUGACAUUGGUAACCAUUUCUUUCUAAGGGAAUAAGCUCACAUUUUGAAAUUUUUUUCUUACAAGAUAGAUUAAAACAAUAAUUGCAUUCCGAAACAAUGCUUAGUCCAAUAAUUUUGAUCCUUUCACAAGCAAUACUAGAAAGUUUUUGAAAAAUCUUUUAUUGGAUUUGAGAUUCGAACUUUGAUCAAACCUUAGGGUCAUCUUGUUUAGAAGAAAUUUCAUUAAAGGACCUUUUGGAUCCUAGUGAUGGAAAAUCUAACUUUGAUAAAAAAGAUUUAUCUUUCUCUUCAGUGUCCUUUUUGAAGUUUACAAAAGAUAAAAGAUAAUUUUUCUCAUCAAAGUGUUUUAUGAUUUCAUAAUAAUCUCGUUUUUCAAGAAUUAAGGGUGAAAAGAAAGUUUUUUUUUUUUGGUUUUUGUCUUUAGGGAAUAUUUUGAAUCCCCUAAAGCAACUUCAAGGCUAUAAUAUCCUCGAAAAACAGGAUUUUUAAAUCCUCGAAUUUGUUCAAGGACUUUUAUCCACAUAAGAUAAAUGACAGGAUUAUACCCUUUAAAAACCACAUAAAAAGAAAAAUUCUUUGAGAGAGGUUUUUCUUUUAUUUUCAAGAAAUAAACACAUAGGACAUUUAGAGAAAUGAUUAAAGAAUUUUUGUCAUGAAGAGAACAAAAAAGAUUAUCUACCAAACAUUGCUGGUUAUCACCAAGUGUAUAUCCAGCAGGCUUUUUAAACCUCCUAUCUCCUUUGGGAUAUAGGGGUAAUAGGUAGUCGUCAAACAUCAUUUUUCCGUGUUGUUGGUCCAUCUUCUUCCUAAAGAAUACACUUCACGAGAUAAGUAGUUAGCAAACAUGUUAUUAGUUCCCUUAACAUUUUCGAAUUUUACUUUAUAACCAUUUUCUUCUAUAAUGUCUACAAACUUUAUCCACUUCUUUGUGCUAUGUUUUUUCUCAUUCAUCUUACCAUAGAAUUUUACAAUAGCUUCAUAAUUUGUUCUUAAAGUGAAUGAUUUAUCUAGAAAUAGCCUAAAACUAUUUAUAGAAUUUAUAACGCCUAAUAUCUCAAAGUCAAAAGAAGAGAGUUGUUAUUUUUCUUUAUAUUUACCAGAUGCAUAUCUACAAAUUAUUUCAGAGGAUUUUUUCUAAAUGCUCAAAAGGUUUACAGUAAAGAAUUAUGCCUCAUCUUUCUUCAGACGAAUCAAUCUUGACUAUUUUGUUGUCAGUUUCCAAUGGCAAAACCAAAGUUGGGAGAUUUGCACAUAUUGAUUUAAUAUUUUGGAUUAACAUGAUAUCUGCAUGGUUAAAAACUUCUAGCUUAUGGGCUUGAGCUUAUUAUACAAGGGUCCUAUAAGUUUUCCAAGAUCUUUAAUAUACAUCAUUGCAUAGUUUAGGAGCCCUAAAAAGGAUUGAAGAGUCUUUUUGUCUUAGAUUUAGUUACGAUUAGAAAUCCACUUUUCUAUCUUCAUCCAUGGAUCCUUUACUCACUCUCAUUCAAUUGGAAGUAUUGAUCCAAUUCAUAAAAAUUAUGUUUCGUAAUUUCAUAAUCCAAUUUCCAAAUUUCAUACAAGUCACGAGAAUGUGUAUUCUUCCUCGAAUCCAUCAUUGAGAAGUAAAAGAUUAAAUCCUUUUAAGAUAAGAAAUAAACUUUUUCGUUGGAAUUUGAAUCAAGUCAAACCGAAGGAACCCUUAACUAUUAGGGGGGUUAAUAGAAAGAAUCACACUUUUACCACUAAACUAUACCCGCUACAAUGUGAUUAUUGUAUAUAAACUGACUUUUUGUCGAACAAAGGAAUCAGACACGAUCAAGAUAGAAUCAGAAAAGAAUCAUGAAAAUUAGAGUUUUGUUGGGGACUUAAUGAGAUUAGGAAAAGAUGUCUCAUUUAAAUAACUAAAUAACAGGUUCUAUUUUUUGCUGAAGGAUUUUUAUUUUAGUUUUUAUAGAUGUGUCUCGACAAAACCACUUAAGUCAUAACAUAAAAACGCAUUGUGCAAGAAUCCAUAGUUUUUUUUUUUUUUUUGGAUCUUCCCCAUUCUUUUCUUUCAAGCAAAGAAAAGAAAGGAUUUUCUAAAAAAAAAGAGAGUUUUAAUUGUUUUUUUAAGGUAUUCUCUUAUGUCUAUGUCGAUUUUUUUUAUUUUUUAUUUUAUAAAAUUCGGGAAAACUGAAUUGAAUAAAAAAUAAAAUCAUAGUCUUUUUUGUGGACUCAAGCGUCAAAUAAAGUUUUUUUCUUGAAUAAAAAAAUUCAUUAUAAUUAUAAAAAAGAAUUUAAUAAAUAAUAAUAAUAAAUAAUUUAUUAAAUUAUUAAAUAAUAGAUAUUUUUCUUGUUUUUAGUCCAGCAAAGUAAAUGUAUAGUAAAGGAAAAAAAAUUAGAAAAAAAGAAUUAUAAAAUAAUAAGAAGAACUCACAUUUUGAUUCUAUUUUGACUCUAUAUCAUAAGAAUGGAAAUAGUUCUUCUUAUUAUUGUUGUUGCUUUAAUAACAAACAUUUUUGUUUUCAAAUCAAAUAAAUUUUUUUAUAUCUAUGAUUCAUUAGAACAAAAAAGGGCCUGGAUAGGUCAGUACCUAUCCGAGUCGUGGGAAUAAAAUAAAAAGGCCCUUUUGAACAAACUAAAAAAAACAUUCUUUUUUUUUUCUUUCUAUAUUUCUAUUGGAAAUAUAUAUUUCGAGUCUUUACUUUAUGGAAUUGGAAUUGUUGAUAAAAGUUGUAGAUAUCUAUAUAAUAAAAAGAGAUAAAAAAAUAAUAAUGAAAGAUAAAGAUAUAAUUUUUCAAUCUUUACUUUAUGUAUGGGAGAAAUGGUUGAGUGGACUAAAGCGGCGGAUUGCCAAUCCGUUGUACGAGUUAUUCGUAUCGAGGGUUCGAAUCCCUCUCUUUCCAUUUCCAUUGAUGAAUUGAUAUUUUAUUUAUCUUUCGAAUUUCUCGAACCCUUUUUCUUUUUUCAUAGUUAAAAGUGUGGAAUAGAUAAUAUCCGAAGAAAAUUUGAAAAUCCAGUAAGGAAAAUGCCUUUAUUUUUUAUUCUUCAUUCUUCACGCCCAAGAUUACGUCUCGGAUCAUUAGAUAGGAAUCCGAAGAUGAAGAGAGAAACAAAGAAUAUCACUACUGUGUAAACGAAGAGUUUGAGAGUAAGCAUUACACAAUCUCCAAGAUCAUUUUUGGGGAAAAAGAGAAUAGAUUCUCCAUUUUUAUACCACAUAUCCUAUUUUGACUCCUAUUUUGACACCAAGACAUGAGAAGUGGUUUCUAGAAAUGGAAAAGCAUUUUCAAAAAAUCAUUUGUAAUUAGGAGUCUUUCAUUGCCAAAAUUUUCUUUCAUACCCACAAUUAGAUAUUGUGGAGGACCCUAAUUAAUAGUGCCUUUCACUAGAAAAAGGAAAGGGUUAGAAUGAGGUGAUAUAGGUUUAUUGUGACUAUUCGAUACUUUGACUUUCAAUGUUUUAAUUGAGGGUUCAUAAUCUAAGAUUUUUCUAAUCUUAUCAAUUGUUAGAAUUUUUUUUCCUCGAAAAAAUCAUGAAUUUUUCUAGGGCAAUAUUAAAUAUUUCAUCGAAAACUUAUAGCUUGCCAAAAAAAGGCUAAGAGAAAAAAUAGCAUAGGCAUGAUUGGCAUAACAUCUAUGAUUGGAUUUAAAAAAGCAUAGGCUUCGGGCAAUUUGGCGAAGAAAAAAUUACUCGAAUAAAGGGCAGAAUUAAGACAAAUAUAGAUCAAACUAAAGAUAUUAAGCAUAACAAAAAAAAUUUUCUUAGAGAUAAUUGAAUUUUAAUUGAGUUAUUGACAUGGUAUUGAUAUAAGGGAAAAAAAGAAUAAAGUAGGGUAGACCAAAAAAUCCUUUUUUUUCUUUUAACUCACCCAAUCAAGAGUACUUCAAGUCUCAAAAGAGAAUAGAAGAAAUCAUACUUUCAUAAAUAUUUUAAUUGAAUUAUAUAUAAUGAUCAAUAAAUUCAGUUUAAUUCUAUGUCUACACGUGUCAAAAUCCUAGCAACAAUCUAAUAUAUUCCAUAAAUAUUUGGACUAGAAUUGACGAACGACUAAUAACAAUAUUAGUGUUUAUUAGUGUCAACUAGAAAUCUAAAUGGGGAGUGGCCAAGUGGUAAGGCAACGGGUUUUGGUCCCGCUAUUUGGAGGUUUGAAUCCUUCCGUCCUAGAGCAUACCAAUUAUAUCAGAAUAAAGAUAACUUUAAAAGUCGGAGGGGCCUUUGAUUCUAUGCCCAUCCCCUUCAUAUUGAAGGUUAGUUACUUAGAAAAACCUUAUGUCUCAUAUACAUUUGAAUUCUCAAUGAUGCAUUCUAGAUCGAAAUCCGAAAAAAAAGCCUCUAUAUUCCCUUGUGAACCCACAUUUUUCACGUGCAUACCCACUCAAUGGCAAGACUUGUUUUUAUUGGCGAAAAAUUAGUUUUGGAAAAGUUGGAGUCACCACUUAUUUUAUUUUAUUUUAUUUUAAAAGGAAAAAUAAAACAAGAAAGAAAACCCUAAAGAAGUGACUCCAUAGUUUUGGAAAAGCAAGUCUUGAAAAAUCCGAGUCUUGGUUCGGGGAUCAGGUUACCUAUUGGAAAGGUAUCUUUAAGAGUUAGCACCCCUCUAAGCCCUAAAGAGGUCUCUAAUGACUAAGUUGAGGGGAAUGUAGUAAUUAAUUAAUUGAUUGAGGGUACCUAGGCAGACUAAGGUGAUUUUAGAAUUAACAUACCAAGCCAGAAAGUCCAAUCAUGAUCAUAAAAGAGAGUCAAAUUGUGUACUUGAACUGCUUCUCAAACACUAUCAUAAAAAAUCAAGGUUAGUAUAGAAAUAUAGCACACAACAUUUGUUUUAUCCAAACAAAUCAAGCAUAGAUCUAAGCACCCAAGAAUCACAUCAAGUAUGGAUAUAGUCAUUAAUAGCAUAUGUGUCCAUAGAACUCUCGAAAGUAAGUGUGGAGGAGCAUACCUGGAUAGCAAGUUAAAGUGCCUCUAUGGGAAACAAAGUUGCUUAAUAACAGGUGCAAAAUAAUCUCAUGUACCACAAAGAGGAAGCAUAAUCAAUCAUAUAUCAAACAAACAAUAUAGAAGAGAAUAUCAUGGAUGUUGGGUCCCCACCAAAGCCUUGAUUGAUUUUGCAUGAGUUGAUUCUAUGAAUUCCAUUGUUUAGAAUCAUGAAGUUUGCUCAUGCUUGUAGAAAAUCGAGAAAAUCAAGAAAAUGGUUGAAAGUCAAAGAAAAUAAUGAAAAUGUCUGCUUAAAGAAAGGUGGCAACAAAAGAUUUGUUGAAAUCUAGAUUUUAAUGUCUAUGAACUCCUAAGGAUGGGAUUUUAAAGAAAACUGGAGUUACUUAGUGGAAAAGAUUUUGAAAUCCAGAUUAAAAAUGUGAAAAUUCACAAGAAAGAAAAGAAGUAAUAAGAGAAGGAUGAUGUGCACCAAGGUGGCAACUGUAUGGGUCGAGCCUAGAGAUGUGAUUGAAACUGCCUUGUUAGUGUUGAAUCUCUAACUACAUUAAUAUUUUGCUCUCUUUUGGCACUUUUCGAGGAUGCUUGUUUUUCAAAGUUUUGGUGAUUUUAGGUGAGGGAUGAAGAGUUCCAGCAAACUUGAGUUAUUCUUGAGAAAUACGAACCCUGGCGUAAUUAGCUUUCCAUAUAUGUGUCUCCCUUGGAUCCAUGAGCUCAAACUAAUACAUAAUAGAUCACAAGAGUGAGACUGAUAUGGUAUGGGAAAUGGUUCACUACCCUGAUGAGGAGAGUUCACGAAGCAAAUCUAGUCACAACUCUUCACUUUACUACUGACUUUAGGCAGUUACAGAGUGGGGAUUUUUUCCCAACGACAUGUGGACUGGCUAUAUGUGGACACUGGGUGGACUGUUUUUUCUUAUAUGUUGUCUCUUUGUGGGAUCACUUAUGAGAGUGCAAGGAGGGAUGAUCUUUGGCAAAGUGCAAUUGACUAUCACCUUCUUGGAAUUAGUGGUUAUGUGUGCUUUCUAUCUUUUUCUUGAUGUGGUAGGCUGUUUCUCAACGAUGUAGCCAGCACAGAGAUCCUAAAAUUAUGGGUUGUGCGACUAUCCUUUCACCCUUAGUGUGUGUGUGGAGAGCUUUUCCAAGUGGCAACCUAUGUAUGUGGUAUUCUUUCCAAGAUGGACUUUUUCCCUUUUCAAGCUGCUGCGUGUCGGUGCUUCUCCUUAGAGAAUGACAUCUAUAUGAGGACUUAUGCAAUCCCUUCAAUAGUGGACUGUGCAUAGGCUUUUUUUUUCUGAGUCGCCUUUGGCUAUUGUUCUUAAAGAGGAUACAUACUUCUCUCCUAAAGCCUAAUGGAAAAGUUGUCCUUAAGAUUUCUGGUGUGUUGCCCCUUCUGAUGCUAAUGGACUGAUGCUAAUGGACUGCUCUUUCAAUGUGGCUUUGUGCAGACCACUUUGGAGAAUAAUUGGAUUACAGCCCGUAUCCUUCCCAGUGGUUAGUGUGCUCUUUCUUCCUUAAAAUUCAUUUUUUUCUUUCUCUCUAAUCAUUUGAGCGUGGUGCUCUAUAUGGUCUUAUGGUGGCCUACCCUCUCUCAAAGCAGCGUGAUAUUCCAAUCCAUGUCAAAAUGGUGGUUGUUGCUAGUGUAUCUAUGGAACGCCAAUGGUGAUGACGCACGCCAUCUUUUGAACAAGAAUCUAGUGUGUGUUGAUGCUUUUCCCUAAGGCCCAUGGAUGGUAUUCUCCAUAUGUUGGCAAAGUGUUGGAGACGUCCAUGGUGUGCACUCUCCAUGGUGCGUGAUCAAUCCCAAAUUGGACUGUACAUUCAUCGAAUUGUAGCUCGUGGAGGUUAUAGACUGACCGCAGAAUGUUGUCUUGUCUCUCCUUACCUUUGGAAGAUGCAUCCUACUCGCUUUGAAUUAGUGGCGUGCAUGGUUCUCUUAAAGAUACCAUGGAGGUAUUUAUGGAAAUUGGGAUAUAGACCCCUCAAAAGUUGCAGUCGUGGGGAUGCUUAUGCCUGGACUGGUUGUCUUUAACCCAUAGUGCAGUUCCAUUCUUAGGGAACUGCCCCAAAAAUUAAUCCCAUUUAGCAUGUAAGUUUGUGCAAGGUGAUGUCUGGAGUCUUGAUGGAUGCAGCCUCGGCCAAAAAUUUGGUGAUAAUAUGCUUCCAAAAUCUAUCCUAAGCGUGAUUCCUUUUUAAAAGAAUGUUGGCCAGUCAUAUUUUAUUUGAGAUGGUGUUAUGUGGGUGAUUUUUCCUAAAAACCAUUACUAUGUGUGUUGUGUAGAAUGGAGAAUCAUGGUCUUCCUCGUCCUCCCUUUAUGGUAGCCUCCUUUUUACUCUCUCAUAGCCUGGAAUUUCCUUCUACCCCAAAUAGAACUAUCCACCAUUCUUCAUUCAACAUACAACCUUGUCAUUUUGUUUCUAUCCAAAUAUGACAUCUAUCUAAUGAUGCAGAUUUUCUGAAACAAAAUCAUAUUCUAAUGCUUCUCUAUGCUUCUUGAUAAACUCUCAGGCACUGUUUUUGGCCCAAGGAGGUAACACAACAUCACCAACCUUUUCUCUUGAUCGUUUUUCUCCCAGACCAAGAUUGAAACAAUUUUCCUACAACUCUAGCAUGUAGAAGAAUUCUAGAAUUAGCUCAUUCACAUCUGAUGUGUUGCCCUUCCCGACUGCACUUAACCAUGUAUCUCUUGCACUAUUGAAAAAAUGAUCAACAUGGUCAAAUUGACCACCUUGUAACUUUUGGUUCUCUACACUGAAUGGUGGCAGACGCAACAGAUCGAAUAGGACCAUUCCCGUACUAGAAUAAUGAGAACCAUCAUGAAACUUGGGGACCUCCUGUUUUUCCUUCUUUUUCUCCAUCUUUCCCACACUUUCUGAAGUCAAUAUAGUAAUGUCAUCUAGAUUGCAACUCUUCUGCUUCCCACCCUUUGCAACGGCUUGAAAAGCAUACCAAAUCUACUUUACUAGCACAACAUCAAACCUUAGAGAGGCAGUUUGAGACUAUAUGCACACCUCCAGGCAUGUAAAAGAAGAAGGACAGAGCUAAAAGUGCAUAGUAAUAUGUGUAGAAUUAAGUCAUCAAAUAUUGGUGUACAAAGUAUGAAUCAAAUGUGGUCCAGUGUGUAAAAAUAGUGAAAGUAUGCCCAAACGGUGCCCAAAUCACAAACAAGAAUGUAAGAAUGAAAUAAUAAAAGGUCUCAAAGCUCCAUAUCAUGUCUUCUCAAUGAGCUUAAUGGAACUGGUGGGGAAACCAAAUAAUGAGAUUAUAACAAAAAUGGGAAAACAGAAAUAGGAUCAGAUAACUAGAGUGAAUCUAGAGUUAUGCAUAUUUUUUGAACAAAAUCACAUAAGCAACAGAGGAAACCAAACCACAAAUAACAUAUACGCAAUAUAUGAACAAAAGACUGUUAUAAUCCAUGCACAAAUCAAAUAACAUUAUCCAAAAUAAAUGGCCAGAAAAUAUGAGCAGAGUGAAAUAUGAAGAUGAACAGGGAGUCAAAAAUAUCCAUACUCGGAAAAACUCCCAUUCGUUUAUCUUUUUUGGUUGUUUCGGCUUAUUUUUCUGUUUUGCUUUCCUUUGCCUUGCUUGUCGCCUUCACUUAGUUUUUUCCUCUCGCUUUCCUUUUGCUCAAGCCUUCUUCUCACAAAAAACCAAAAAAAAAAUAACUCUCUGAUCUCCUCUCGUAUCCUUCUUCCCCCCAACCCCCUCAAAACCACCAGCCUGUGAUUUUUUAUAGAAAUUGACAGUCGUCCCAUCUAAGGAGUCUCUCUCUCUCUCUCCGAAUUCUACGUCUCAUCCACUAGAAAAAAUCAUUUUUAAAUUUCAAAAAUCAAUCCAUGCAUAUCAUGUAAGAAGUCCCAUAUUUUCCAAAAAACUUCUUCAUCCCUAUUUUCACUCUCCAGUGAUCUUCACUAAUGCCUAAAAGAGUUCAUUUCCUUUUGAAAGUCUUAUCAAUUUCAAAAUUCUUUUUUCUUUCGUUGGUAGAUUUUCCUAUAAAAACUUCAAAUUAUUAAAUUAAAUAAAUGAAUAAUAAAUACAUAAAUUAGAGAAUGAUAAAAUAAUAAUAAUAAAUAAAUGGAUAAAUAUCAAGAUAAUAAACUAAUAAAUACAAAAUAAUAAAUAACUAAAUAAAUAAAAGUGAUUAAUAACAAUAAAUAUAAAUUAAAAUAAAUAAAUAAAUUAAUAAAAAUAUAAUAAAUGAUUAAAUAAAAGUGAUUAAUAAUAAUAAUAAAAAUAAAAAGAAAUAAAUAAGUAAAUGAGGUAAAUGAGUCAUGCAACCGUACAAGUCACGCUAAGAAUGUCUAAUAGGCCAAGUGUGCCUAAGUGAGCCUACAUGGGCCUAAAGUGGUGCCUAAUGGCCGAGUAUACCUAUAUGGGCCUAAGGUGAGACUAGGUGGGCCUAACUAAGUCUAACCUAAAGUGCACCUAAGUGAAGCCUAAUCUAAACUUGAAGGGCAGCCAGGGUCAUAAUGGGAAGUCGGAUAACUCCUUAACCAAAGUUUCCAAGGUGGCUUAGAAAAGAUAAGCUACAUGAGUAGUAAUGCGCUAUCAGGGAACUAAUGUGGAGUACUAGAAGUGAACUUAAAGAUAUGCACUAAAUGGACAAAAUGAAGGGUCUACAAAUAUGUCUUUCUUCGGUAGAGAUCACGAGUGUAGAGAAUAUGAGUUGAAAUACGAAUAAUGAGUGGAACGAAGUGAACUAUGUCGAAGAAUUAAAAGGAAAAGUCCAAAAUUUUUGUCUUAGCACAUGAAGAGGUAAGGUCAAAAAAUGGGGUCGCAAUGACAUGGAUGGGAUGACUCUAUGUGGAGGGAUGACAAUGAAGGGAGAAAAGUGUAUGAUAAGUAGCACAAAGAUGGAAAAUGAUAAAAGAAGGACUCAAGGUCAUAGAUGAGAUGAAUGACUCUUGGUCAUGGACAAGAUGAACGACUCUGGGUCAGGAAUAGGAUAAAUGACUUUGAGUCAAGAGCACGAGACCCUAAAUAUAAAUGAGGACUCUAGGUCAUAGAUGAAAUAAAGGACUUUAGGUCAUAAACUCUGGGUCAGAAGGUCAAUGCUUUAAAUGAUAUGGAUGACUCUAAGUCAGAAGCUAAUGGCUUCAAAUACUAUAAAUGACUCAAGGUCGGAAGCUCAAGGCUUUAGAUGAUAUGGAUGACUCUGGGUCAAAAGCUUAAGGCUUUAAAUGCUGUGGAUGACUCUGGGUCAGGGACAAGAAGAACAACUCUGGGUCGUGAGCUCAAGGCUCUAAAUGCAAUAGAUGACUCUAGGUCAUAAAUAAGAAGAACUAGUCAGGGUCGUGAGCUUAAGGCUCUAAAUGCUAUGGAUGACUUUAGGUCAGGGACAAGAAGAACAACUUUAGGUCGUGAGCUCAGGGCUCUAAAUGGAUAGCCGAUCAGGAUGCUUUUUGGCUCAUGAUGUUGGGUCGAGGCCACUCAAAGGUGGCUAGAAUGAUGAAAACAAAACAUCUCAAGGAUGUGAAGGAUACGAACGACUCUGGGUCGUGAGCUCAGGGCUUGGGAUGCCAUGAAUGACUUUGGGUCAAGAUGCAAUGAGUAACUCAGGGUUAUGAUGAAUAGCUUAGGGCUAUGUGAACAACUUAGGGCUAUGUGAACAGCUUAGAGCUAUGAGCUCCAAGCUCUAUGACUGAUCGACUAGAAGGAGAAUGCAAUAUGCAAACUCCAGGUCAAACCACUCACGGGCGACCAAAUGAUGAAGGCUCAGCUCAGGGCUGGAAAGACUUCAAGUCUUGAGGAAAUGAUAGCUCGAGGUUACCAGGCUCAAGGACUAGAGAGAAAUGAUAGCUCAAGGCUAUAAAACUUAGGGUGUAGAAGGAAUGGAUAGCUCAGGGCUAUGAGGUUCAGUGCUUAUAAGGAAUGGAUAGCUGAAGGCUAUAAAACUCAAGGUCUAGAAGGAAUGGAUAGCUGAAGGCUAUAAGACUCAGGGUCUAGAAGGAAUAGAUAAAGAAGACCAACUCGAAAAUGGAUAGGAAGUAAAUGGGCUCAAAGUCGUAUACUCAAAAUGCCAAGAGUCGGACUACUGAACUUAAGAAAGGAAAUAUGCCCCAGUAUCCAGGUUGCUUGCACUGCUGAAACAACUAGUAAAUCAAUCAUCCGUUGAAAUCAAUGGGUCAGAAACCGAUGCAUCAUGACAAACCUCUGAAAAUUCUAAACUGAAAGAACUCUUUGUGUCUAAAAAGUUGCUAUGUCGACGAAUAUCAAAAGAUAAAUCUCAAAGUGUGUAUAUCGUGGCUCAUCUAAAAACAAAUCUCAAAGUGCACAAAAUACUACUCAGCUGGAUGAUUCCGUGCCCAGCUGGUGUACCUUGAUUUUGGUCCUUAGACAGGAGUAAUCAACAAAAUUUAUAACCUAUAUCACCAUGUACUAGGAUAGCCUCAGCUAGUAUAGCAUAGUGGCUCUGGGAUCGUUCACUGGGAAGGGUUUUCAACUUACAACUGAUAAUAAUUCAAAGUUGAAUUGAUGCUUUUUCAUUUCAAGGUUAGCUUCAAAAGAAAACAUAAACUUUGGUUUAAAAAGGAUUGGUUUAAGCUAACUAAAAUAAAGUAAUGGGAAUUACUUAUAAAGAAAAGCGUUUCUUGGAGUUUAUGAUCACUAGGGUCAGGCUCCUCAUACAAAAACAGAGUUCCGGUCACUUGAAUCUUUUCCUUGCAUUAGAGAAUUAACAUAUAAUUAUUUCUCUAACCGGUGUGGUACAGAUGCUUCCUUUUUAUGGAUUCCAACACUAAAUUCCUCUCACUGAUUCAUCUUGCAAUGGCUCGUGCCUCUCACCUAGCAUUUACCAUUCAAGGUGAUCAUUAACCUUGGAUUUCCCUUCUCAAGCUCGCAAGAGAUAACUAAUGGAUGUCUCCUUAGAGUCCAAAAGCUUACCAAGUGUUGGCAAUUCUAGAAAAUCCUACCUUCAAAUCACCUCCCAAAGGCUCGCAAGAGAUAAACUAGUGCAUCUCAAUGAACGAAGAUCACUUGCCUUACCAAGUGUUGGCCAAGGUGAUUUAAAGGCGUUUUAAGUUAACUAAAAACAUAGAAACCAUUAACGGGUCACACUUUCUCUUCAUUAAAGGCUAAAACAACAAAACUUCUAAUUCUUACAUUCGACACCUUACCCAACUACCUUAGCUCCAAGAGACAAAAAGUCUAGCCACUCAUUCUCUGAGGAAACAUCCUCAGAGCUUGUUUGGCUAGUAAGAAAAAUACAAUCAAAGUGAGUAGGUAAGAUAGAGCAAAGCUCUAUAUAUUACUUCCUUCAAAACUAUACAAAAAGUUGUCUCUGAGAACAAGCUCCUGAGAUAUGUCUGUAAAGAAAAUUACAAACUAUAUAUAUGAGGUUAUUCACCCUUUUUUCUUACUUAUUAACUAAGGAAUCCUAUGAUUGGUGGAUUAUAAGGAGAAAAUGGGGAUUUAAACAAAAAAUAUCUGAAGAAAAAUCUAAAAGAGUCGGUUGAAAAUAUUUGGAAGCACUCAGGAGGAUUUCGCAGGCAUGCAAGAUGGGCUGCGAAAUUUCGCAAGCUGAAGGUCUCUAUUUCGCAGCCAAAGGCUGAUUUUGCAGCUGCGAAAUUGGCCUUCAACUUGGUGUGAUUGGCUUCCAAUGGCUAUAACUUCUUCAUUUCAACUCCGAUUCACACACCAUUUGAAGCGUUGGAUUCCUGACUUCCUGAGCUUCAAAACGACAUAUAGUAUGCAUGAAAAGGGCUCCAAGAAGUGCUCUAAAUGUGUCCAAUAGUUUCUGUCCUCUUGAAUUCUUCAUGUUAGAUUUCUCUCUUUGCUUUCCCUCCUUGCAUUCAUGAUUUGCUUUUGGAAAAGGACUAUAAAGCUUCAAAGCUUGGGUUCUUCAUGUAAAUGAGCUUCAAAUUUCUUUGCCAUGGAUUCUAUAGAACUCUCCUCAAUCUUGGAUUGCUUUGGUGAUCAAAAUACUAUCAAAAACACCAAAACUUAACACAAUUUGAUUAGAAACGAUUGCAAAGGUACUUAAUAUGCUAAUUGAGUUAAAAGGUAAUAACUACUACUCAAAAGUGUUCAAAAGAGUUAAUUACAAGCUAUAAAAUAGCACUUUCUGAGUAGUAAUCACUGGAUAAUCCAAUCUGCAAGAUAACAAUGGCGAAAACAAUUUAUUUCAUAAGCAUCUAGCUAAAGGACCCAUGCAUGCUCCUUGGGUGAAACUUGAUGUGAACAAUCUCUAUUUGAACGAAUCUAAGUAAGGAGGUCCUGAUAUAGUCAAUCGUCGGAGGCCCCAAACUAAUACUCAAUCUAAAACUAAGCUGGUUGUUGUCUCAAUCUCAAGGAUACUCAAAGAAAAUGGGAAAAUAUGCCCUAAUAUAAGAUCUGAUGUCAAAGUCAUGAGGUAAAUAACCAACAUCUAUUAUCCAUGUUCAUACUAUUGCGCAAACAAAAUCUCAUCAAGGGGAAGAGAAUAUGCCCCAAUAUAAUGUUUGAUGUCGAAGUCAUGAGGUAAACAACCAACAAUGAUCAUCUAUCUAUGUAUAGCCGCCUGAACACAAUCUCAUCAUGGAGAGGGGAAUAUGCCCCAGUAUUGAUAUCUAAUGUACAAUAAAGAAUCUAUCAAAAUCAACCAAACAUCUCUAUAACCAUAAAUACGGAUAGCCAUACUGUCCAACAACUAGAAACCUCAGAGAAAAUGGAAAAUAUGCCCUAGUGUGGAUAUUUGACACACAACAAAAAGAUGAAUCGAAUAUCAUCAAAGAACUGUCUCCAAACUCAAAAAUCCAUCAAACAUCAAUAUUCCAAGCAAGAGAGAGAAACCAAAUGCUUCCAAAAGAAAACUAGGCACAAAUACCCAAUGAUCAAACCCAAACCUUCGUGUAUAGUGUACAACGCAUAGGAAAAUCUCAUGAGCAUGUGAACUUAAGAGGAGUCGAUGAGAAUGUCGAUGGUGAAAUGAGAAAUGAUGAGAAGUGGUCAAGCCAUCAGCAAAUCAUGUAAAUGGUGUGAAGAAAGGUGUCGAAUUGAGAAAGUGUAUAGGUGUCGGAAUGGGACAAAAAAUGGAAUAAAUAGUAAAAAAGAAAUGAUGGGAAACCAAAUGAAGGUAGUGAGAAAGUAAAAAGGAAUGAUGAGCCAUGCAUAUCAGCACAACAAAGAUAAUUCAUAUCGCCCAUGAUGGAGUAGUAGAGAAGACACUGAUUCAGAGACCUUAGUGAAAGGUUACUCAACUCUCAUACCUAUAAAGUACAACAACUCUUAUCCAAGAAACAAAGGAUCUCACAAAAAACUCUCGUCCCUCCAAUUGUAUAACGAAAGUGACUCAAGGAGCAAAAAAGUCCUCAUGGGAAACUCGCACAAACUCUCAAUAAUAAACCUAAUAAACCCUCAAAUAACAACACAUGCUCAAUGGAGUAGGAUAUCAAGUACAAAUAUAUCACUACAUUUUUUUUUUUGGAAUGCGCAUACCCUGGUCAUCAGUAAAUCAUACUCCAAUGAGAAACUACAAGGAAUGAAUAAACUCUCUCAAAUCACUGAUGAACACAUGAAACCCCAUCCCAUGAGACAACCUCUCAAGCUAAAAUCUUUAAAUCAGUGCCAAAUGAUGGAUUAAAAUGAGUGGUACGACUACCCUCUAUUCAUCAAUAUGUGAAGAAUCAUCAUUCCAAGUGACGAAAAUAUGAAAUGUAGCGACCAAUGAUAAAAACCAAGAUUGAGAUGAAAAUGUGAAAAUAAUGGAAUAUAGCAAAUAGGGUGAUGAGGUGAAAAUAGCAAGGAUGAGGAAGAUAAGCCUAUAAGUCCAAAGCUCAUGAGACUUUCCUAGAAAAGCACAACUAUACAUCAAAGGGCUCCAACCCGGGUGUAGAAAUGAUAAGCAGGGAUAUAGAAAAUAAAAGGCUAUAGCAUAUCAUAUGAGGCUCAAUGGGCUAGCAACGGUCUAAUAUAUCAAUAAAGGUGAUAAGGUGUAAGGCUAAUCUAAAUGAUGGCCACCUAUCCUACUACCAUAAUUUUAAACGUAAUACUUCUUAAGUUGAUCCACAUUGGUAGACUUUGAAAACUGGUUUCCAUCUAAGUCGAUCAACCAUGCAGCCCCUUCUAGAGUCAACUCUUGAAUAACAUAAGGCCCACUCCAACUAAGUCUAAACUUUCCUCUGGGAUCUCCAACCAAACCUUUGAGAAUCCUCAAAACCAAAUCCUCUUUCUAUAACGAUCUAGGCUUAACCCAUUUCUUGAAGGCACGAGCCAUCUUUCUUUGAUAGGCCUGAACAUGAUCCACUGCUCUCAAUUUCCUCUCAUCUAAAAUGUUAAGCGAAUCAAAUCGAGCCUAGGCUCAUUCUAUCUCAGAAAUAUGUUGCUUAAGGACUACUCUCAAUGAACCUAUCUCUGUCUCAACUAACAAAAUAACCUCCAUAUCAUACACCAGAGAGUAAGGUGUAGCUCCUAUAGAGGUGCAAAAAGAGGUAUGGUAUGCCCACAAUGCAAAAGGGAGUUUCUCUGACCAAUCUCGGGAAGUCUCAACCAUUUUUCUCAAAAUCCUCUUAAUGUUCUUAUUUGCUGCCUCUACUGCCCCAUUAGUCUGUGGCCUGUAUGCAAAUGAUUUGUGAUGUUGGAUGUUAUACUUAUAUAGCAAACUAUUUACCUCAGCUCAAAAGUGCACCCCUGUAUCUGGUCUAUAAAUUUUGACAUUUAGCUAUCUAAUAAAUAAGAAUUUCUUGUAUUUCCACUUGAUCUGUUCAUUUUUAUCUUCAAAAUCGAUUAGAAAAUGUGUGUUUUAUUUUAUUUUAUUUAUUUUAUUGCUAGUUCAAUGUUUUGAUUGCGUCAUGUAACCCAAUCUCUUUACUUUAUUUGUUUUGAUUCCAGUUGUAUCUACAUACCCUAAUUAUUUUAAUUGAAUUUUAUCUUAUUCGGGUUGCUAACUCAAUGGUAGAGUACUCGAAUUUUAAGUGCGGCUAGAAUCUUUUACACAUUUGAAUGAAGGAAUAGAUUCGUCCAUACCAUUGGUAUAGUUUGUAAGACCGCGAUUGAUUCCUAAAAGAAAAUGAAUGGAAAAAACAGCCUGUCGUAUCAAUUAUCAAUGGAGAAUUCUGAGAAUAUAUCAUUAUUACUAGAUCAACACAAAACCUUGUUUGAAUUGUUAGAGCAUAACAAAAUGAAUUCAAAGUUGGGUUGAGUGAAUAAAUGGAUAGAGCCUUAAUGGCUCCAAUUAAAUUAUAGGGAAACAGAUUCGUCAAUGGUAUGGAUGGGUUGCUAACUCAAUGGUAGAGUACUCAAAUUUUAAGCGCGGCUAGAAUCUUUUACACAUUUGAAUGAAGGAACAAAUUCGUCCAUACCAUUGGUAUAGUUUGUAAGACCGCGAUUGAUUCCUAAAAGGGAAUUAAUGGAAAAAACAGCAUGUCGUAUCAAUUAUCAAUGGAGAAUUCUGAGAAUAUAUCAUUAUUACUAGAUCGGCACAAAACCUUGUUUGAAUUGUUAGAGCAUAACAAAAUGAAUUCAAAGUUGGGUUAAGUGAAUAAAUGGAUAGAGCCUUAAUGGCUCCAAUUAAAUUAUAGGAAAACAAAUUCGUCAAUGGUAUGGACGGGUUGCUAACUCAAUGGUAGAGUACUCAACUUUUAAGUGCGGCUAGAAUCUUUUACACAUUUGAAUGAAGGAACAGAUUCAUCCAUACCAUUGGUAUAGUUUGUAAGACCGCAAUUAAUUCCUAAAAGGGAAUGAAUGGAAAAAAACAGCAUGUCAUAUCAAUUAUCAAUGGAGAAUUAUGAGAAUAUAUCAUUAUUACUAGAUCGGCACAGAACCUUGUUUGAAUUGUUAGAGCAGAACAAAAUGAAUUCAAAGUUGGGUUGAGUGAAUAAAUGGAUAGAGCCUUAAUGGCUCCAAUUAAAUUAUAGGGAAACAAAAAAAGCAAUGAGCUUCUAUUCUUAAUGUGAAUGAUUACCCGAUCUAAUUAGACAUUAAAAAAUAUUAGUGUCUGAUGUGGGAAAGGCUUCUCUUAUGAGUCAUUAUAGAUUUUAUUUAUUUAUUUAUGAAUCCUAACUUUUAGCUAUAGCUAUUCUCCAUUAUGGAGUGGAGAUGAAUAUGUAGAAGAAGCAAUAUAUUGAUAAAGAUAAUUUUUUCCAAAAUCAAAAGAGCGAUUGCAUUUUAAAAAUAAAGGAUUUCUAACCAUCUUGUUAUCCUAUAACAAAUAUAAAAAAAAUUAGAUGGACAAAUAGAGGAUAGAGGGUCCGUUGAUGAGUCUACCUGUCUCCGAGGUAUCUAUUCAUUUUUAUUAUAAUUAGAAUACCUUGUUUUGACUGUAUCGCACUAUGUAUCAUUUGAUAACCCAAGAAAUACCCUCAAUUUAUUCUAAUCAAAUCUCAAAUGGAAGGAGUUCAAAGAUACUUAAAACUAGAUAGAUCUCGUCAAGAUGACUUUCUAUAUCCACUUAUCUUUUAGGAGUAUAUUUAUGCACUUUCUUAUGAUCAUGGUUUAAACAGAUUGAUUUUGUUGGAAAAUGUGGGUUAUGACAAUAAAUCCAGUUUACUAACUGUGAAACAUUUAAUUACGCGAAUGUAUCAAUAGAAUCAUCUGAUUUUUUUUUAUUCUAAUCAAAAUCCAUUUUUUGGACACAAUAAGAAUUUUUAUUCUCAAAUGAUAUUAGAGGGAUUUGGAGUCAUUGUGGAAAUUCCAUUUUCCCUAUGAUUAGUCUUUUCUCUAGAAGGUAAAAAAAUAGCAAAAUCUCAUAAUUUACGAUCAAUUCAUUUAAUAUUUCCUUUUUUAGAGGACAAAUUCCCACAUUUAAAAUAUGUGUCAGAUAUACUAAUACCCCACCCCAUCCAUAUGGAAAUCUUGGUUCAAGCCCUUCGUUAUUGGGUGAAAGAUGCAUCUUCUUUGCAUUUAUUAUGAUUCUUUCUACACAAGUAUCAUAAUUGGAAUAGUAUGAUUACUCCAAAGAAAUCAAUUUCCAUUUUUUCAAAAAGGAAUCAAAGAUUUUUCUUAUUCCUCUAUAAUUUUCAUAUAUGUGAAUACAACUCUAUCUUCAUUUUUAUUUGCAAUCAAUCUUAUCAUUUACGAUCAACAUCUUAUGGAGCCCUUCUUGGGCGAAUAUUUUUCUAUGGAAAAAUUGUGCAUUUUGUCUAAGUCUUUGCUAAUGAUUUUCAGACAAUCUUAUGGUUGUUCAAGAAUCUUUUCAUCCAUUAUAUUAGGAAUCAAGGAAAAUCCAUUCUGGUUUCAAAAGGGCGCCUUUUUUGAUGAAUAAAUGGAAAUAUUACCUUGUCAAUUUCUGGCAAUGUCAUUUUUAUGUGUGGUCUCAACCAGAAAGGAUCCACAUAAACCAAUUAUCCAAGCAUUCCGUCAAUUUUUUGGGCUAUUUUUCAAGUGUGUGACUAAAUCCUUCAAUGGUACAAAGUCAAAUGCUAGAAAAUGCAUUUAUAAUAGAUAAUGCUAUUAAAAAGUUCGAUACUAUAGUUCCAAUUAUUCCUAUGAUUGAAUCGUUGGCUAAAACGAGAUUUUGUAAUGCCUUAAGGCAUCCCAUUAGUAAGUCCUCCUGAGCAGAUUCAUCAUAUUAUGAUAUUAUCGACCAAUUUGUGCGUAUAUGCAGAAAUAUUUCUCAUUAUCAUAGUGGAUCCUAAAAAAAAAAAAGAAUUUGUAUUGAAUCAAAUAUAUACUUCGACUUUCUUAUGCCCAAAUUUUAGCUCGUAAACACAAAAGUAUUGCAUGUGCUUUUUUGAAAAGAUUAAGAUCGGAACUUUUGGAAGAAUUCCUUAUAGAGGAAAAACAAGCUCUUUCUUUAAUCUCACCAAGAGUUUCUUUUACUUCGCGAAGCUUAUAUAGGGGACAUUUUUGGUAGUUUGAUAUUAUAUGUAUCAAUGAUCUAGCCAAUCAUGAAUAAUUGGUUAUGAAACCAUGUAAAUAUAAAUUAUCCCUAAAUGAUAAAUAAAUAAAAAAAAAGCAUUCAUUUCUAUUCUAAAAUGUUCAUGCAUGAAAUGUUCAUGCAAUAAGGGUUGAAUUAACUGAGUAAUCAACUUUCUUAGAGUCACGUCUAGGGGAGGAACUGGGUUUUAAAUGUAUACAUAGGGAAAUCAGUGUGCAAUGAAAAAAGCAAGCAUGACUUGGGGAUGGAUUUUUUACUUUUUUUUAACAAGGAAAUUAUCUACUCUAUCCAACAAGUUCCGGGUAACCCAUUAUCAUAUCAAAAUCAUGUGUAUAUAAAUCUGUAUUAUCUUUUUGUAACUUACUUUAUUCAUCCAUCAAUAAAUUAUGAUGGAUCUAGAUAGAUAAUAGAUAUAUCAAUGGAUGUUGAUAUUGGUUGACACAGGCAUAUAAGUCAUGUUACACUGUUGAAUAACAAGCCUUUAAUUAUCUAUUUCUAUUUUUAGAUAAUUCGUGUGCUUGGGAGUCCUUGAUGAUUAAAUAAACUAAGAUUUUACCAUGACUGUAAUUUUAGAGAGACACGAAAGCAAAAGCCUAUGGGAUCGCUUUUGUAACUAGAUAACUAGCACUGAAAACUGUUUUUACAUUGGAUGGUUUGGUGUUUUGAUGAUCCCAACCUUAUUGACCGCAACUUCUAUAUUUAUUAUCGUCUUCAUUACUGCCCCUCCAGUAGAUAUUGAUGGUAUUCGUGAACCUAUAUUUGGAUCUCUACUUUAUGGAAACAAUAUUAUCUCUGGUGCCAUUAUUCCUACUUCUAUAGCUAUAGGUUUACACUUUUACCCAAUAUGGGAAGCAACAUCCGUUGAUGAAUGGUUAUACAAUGGUGGCCCUUAUGAGCUAAUUGUUCUACACUACUUACUUGGUGUAACUUUUUACAUGGGUCGUGAGUGGGAACUUAGUUUCCAUCUAGGUAUGCACCAUUGGAUUGUUGUUGCAUAUUUAGCUCCUAUUGCAGCUACUACUGUUGUUUUCUUAAUCUACCCAAUUGGUUAAGGAAGCUUUUCUGAUGGUAUGCCUCUAGGAAUCUCUGGUACUUUCAACUUCAUGAUUGUAUUCUAGGCUGAGCACAACAUCUUUAUGCACUCAUUCCACAUGUUGGCAUAGUUGGUGUAUUUGGUGGUUCCCUAUUCAGUGUUAUGCAUGGUUCAUUGGUACCCUCUAGUUUGAUUAGGGAAACCAUAGAAAAUGAAUCUGCGAAUGUAGGUUACACAUUUGGUCAAGAUGAAGAAACUUAUAAUAUUGCGACUGCUCAUGGUUAUUUUGGUUGAUUGAUUUUCCAAUAUGCUAUAUUCAAUAAUUCUCGUUCUUUACAUUUCUUCCUAGCUGCUUGGCCUAUAGUAGGUAUCUGGUUCAUUGCUUUAGGUAUCAACACUCUGACUUUCUACCUAAAUGGUUUCAAUUUCAACCAAUCUAUAGUUGAUAGCCAAGGUUGUGUAAUUAAUACUUAGGCUAAUAUCAUAAAUUGUGCUAACCUUGGUACGGAAGUUAUGCAUGAACGUAAUGCUCAUAAUUUCCCUUUAGAUCUAGCUGCUAUUGAAGCUCCAUCUAUAAAUGGAUAAGAUUUUCGUCUUAGUGUAUACGAGUUUUUUAAUGUAAAGGAGCAAUUACCAAUUUCCUCUUUUAUCGAGAGGGAUGAUAUUGCUCCUUUAUUUAGUAGUCUUUUAUUUAUCUUAGUAGUCUUUUACUUUUACUUUUCUAAGUUUUUUUUUAUUUUUUUUAUUUCAACUAAAACUAAAAUAGUAAUAAAAAGUAUUCUUAUAGGUUCGUUUAUGAUUGAGUAUCAUACUUUGGUUUUGUUGUUUAAUACCUUAAUCUAAAAGUAAGAUAAUAAAAAAAACAUGAUGAAUGGUGGAAAUUAAAUCUUUUUCAAUUUUUUAUUUCUUUUAAUGUGAAGAGUAAAAGGGCAGAUGUAGCCAAGUGGAUCAAGGCAGUGGAUUGUGAAUCCACCAUGCGCGGGUUCAAUUCCCGUUGUUCACCUAUAACUAAACUAAAAUGCUUUGCUAUAAAAGGAUUUUUUAUUUUUUAUUUUAGUGAAUGUGUCACAUUUAAUUACUCUUUUUUUUUUUUGUAAAGACGAAGAAACAAAUUCCAUUUUGUCUACUAUUUACUACUUACUACGGUGGUGAAUAAUCAAAUUAUCGCUAUAUUUAUUCCUUUUUCUACUUCUUCUUCAAAGUGCAGGAUAACCCCAAGGGGUUGUGGGUUUUUUUUUCUACCAAUUGUGACCAUGAAAUAAGGAUUAAGUGGAAAAAAAUUGACUAUGUGGUAGAGCCAUGGAAACAUUUAUUACUUCCAUAUUUUGGACUAAUGGGGAAAUCAAUAAUUUUUUUAAGAAUGUGUUUUUGGAGUUUAAUCUUACCAUUCCCAAUUUUCAUUCCUAAGAAAUCAAUGUAAUCUUUCGAGAGUUCCAUUUUUUUUCUUAAAAAUAAAGAUUAUGUUCUUUAUAAAUUCUUAGAACAUUAUAGACAGAUGAUCAUAAUGGUUUUCAUGAGUACGACUGAAAACCAGUAUGUCUUCUAUAUAUACACGCACAAAUUUUUUGUAUUUUUUUAAUAUCAAAUCCAUUUUUCUUUGAAAAAUAGCAAGAGCAUUUUUUAAACCAAAAGGCAUUAUGAGCCAUUCAAAAUGCCCUUCAAGACAAAAAAAAAAAAAACAAAAAAAGUCACCCAUUCAAUGCUAGUUGAGUCCAUCUUAACUUACCAAAAUCCUAAUUUAUAAUCAAAUUUGUUAAAGAUUUUACAUCCUUAAUACAAUUUAUCAACAUAUCUUUAUCAAGAAUUUUGUACUGAUCAUCAUAAGUAUUAUCAUUCAAUCUCUUAUAGUUGAUAACCAUCCUAGUUUUUCCUUUCUUGAUUUCACUAUGGUUUCUAACCAUAAAAACAAUUCUCCUAUGUCUAGAGCUGCUAGGCCUAAUCACUUUAAGUUCUAGGAGUUCAAAGAUUUGUGUUUGAAAUUCUUCUUUGUCUUAUGGGCUAUAGUCACCUUUGGAUAUUUUUAUUUGGAUUUCUAGGUUAAUAAUAUCUAGUUUUGCUAGAUAAUUAUUUUCUUCCCAAAAAUUUUUAAGAUUGUCUCCUAAAAUCUGUCCUAUCAUUGAGGUCCCCUACUAUUAGGUCACUCACUUUAGAAGACUUGUCCAAUACUACAAGGAUGUGAUUACCAGUUGUAGCCUACUUUGUAGCGUAUCACCUCAAGAAUCGAAGGCUAGCUAUAGCAUCGUUGUUAACACCCUCAGCAACUUAAGUCUUCGUUUUUAAGGAUUGUGGUCCAACACCACCCAAAGCCUGUCGAACAUGUGCAAGAGUCCUAUCUUGUAUUCCUUUAUCAAAGUAAAAGGAAUAUAUUCUUUGAAAAAAAUGGACUGAUCUACUACAACCCUCUAGCACACGUCUCCAUUAUGUGUCGAAACUAUUUUUUGUUAAUAGAUCUAGGUUAUACACUUGUAAGGUAGGAAUGGAUCUUUGGUGUGUUCCUUUUUCUCUUCUAUCUUUCAAGAUCUUUAUGAGAUUUCUUGAGAUGAUAAAACAAAACUUUGACUACUACGAGUACUCAUUAGAAAGAGAAAUUUUUGAAAAAUAGAUUUUGAAAAUAAUACUUUGAAAAAUGAUGCUAAAUAGUACUUGUUGUUUUACAUGCUUAUGGCAAGAGGCCACUUAGGGUAUUUUAAGGGGAAAAACUAGACGUCUAGUAUUUUUUUUCAUCCUUGUUUUUCAAAAGAAAAUUUUUCUUAUGUGAAAAAAGUAAGACAAAAGUUUUAUAAUCUCCAACACGGGGUUUUCUUAUAAGAAGAUGAAAGAGAAUGAGAAAUGAACAAUGUUGACUUCAUUUAUUAUAGGCAUGUGGUUUAAAAUUACAUGUGAGUAGGAAAUACAUUCUUUAUAAAUCAUUGAUAUCUUUACUUUGUUUUAUCGUGCAUCUGAAGCUAGAGCUAGACUUUAUAAUUCUAUGAUUUUAACACCUGAACAAAUAUGUCGCAUUAAUCACUGUGGUCUUGAAGCUUUUAAGGAAUACUUGGAUAAAUAUGAUACUGUUAAUAGCAUUGUUGGUAUAAAAGAUUGUUUGAUUGCGAAUGAAGAAAAUUUUCAAAAGAUUGCUUAUUGUAAUAAAUAAAAAAAAACAAUAAUCCACUACAAUUCUAAAAAUUGCCCAAAGAAAAGUGAUCGAGUAGAAUCUUCUAAAUCAAGGCUCGACUAGCCAACUUAGAUUCUCUGGACAGUUGCUUUAAGUUGGAUGCCUCAGGAAAUGGUAUCAGAGCAUGGUUACUAUAACUGAAGUAUUGCUUAAAGUAAUAGUUAGUAUUUUAUACUUGCUCAUAGUAAGCUUUUGGUGUAUGUUAGUACUUUGUUUGAUAGCGUGUUUGUUCAAACAGUUUAAGAUCAAAAGUCUUGUUGUAAAGAUAGACAUCACUGAAACAAACACUUAAGGCAUGUUAGCUUUAGUGGUCAUUAUUGUCUGGAUAAAUUUUAUAAUUGGUAUGAGAGUUUUUAGAUGUCGUGUAGAUACACUCAGAUAGAAUAUUUAGAUUUAGAAAUAAAUUUAGAAAAAUUCAUAAAAAAAAAAGGUAGUCACAUCAGAAUUCAAUUGAAUUCAAUGCAAUUUUGGAACUCAUGAGGAAAAAUAUUGCCAUACUUUGCACAACAAAGAUAGGCAAUUUAAUACUCUAUCAUAAGAAGUGAAAACAACAAAGCUAGCCAAGAUAGGACAUGCAAGGUCUUAGAAGAAACUCUCAGCUAUCAUAAGAAGCUUGAAUGAUCAUUAUCAAACUUGAACUUUGACUACAUCAAAUAUCAGUUGAAUCAGAUAAAAUUUGGAAUAAAAAAAAUCCAAAAUUAUAGUUUAGAAAAUUUUCCUUCAAAACAGGAAAUUCAAACUUCAAUCAAACAUAUCAAUGUUCUUCAGCCAAAAGCUAUAGAACUUGAAAUCAAAGGAACUUUGGAAAAUGUUCAAAGAAACAUAAAUACACUUGGAGAAUUUCAAAAAAUUAUGCAAGAACUGUUGGAAGACCUAAAAAGACUAGUCAACAACAUUUAGUAAAAAACUUCUCUUAUGGAAAAUGAUCCAUCAUACAAAAAGGCUUUAAAAAAAGCAAAAGAAAUUCAUGCUAAUCCAAUAAGAUUAAGUAGAGCAAACCCUCAAGGACAAUUUGACAAGGUAACUAUGAGACAACAUAAUUUUGAAAUAAUUUUGCUGCUAAUGUUAGUAGAAGAGAUUCAUAGCUUAGCUAGAGAAAUACAAAAUAUUUAUACUCAACUAAAACAUAUAUAAAAUAAGACCGCGGUUUCAAAUAGUCCUAAUACAAAAGUUGAUCACAUUAUAUCCAAAUUCGACAGUUUGAAUAUUAAUAACUCAAGUAGAAAUACUCCAAAAAAAGGAAAACAUUAUUAGAUGGCUCUUUCCACAAUAGUUUCUAUAAUGGAAAGAAAUAGUCUUCUAAAUAAGAUACUUUCUCGAAAAGAGAGUGAAGAGGUAAAGAUCGAAGAUGUCAUAGACAUUAAUGUUCAACUCACUAGUUUUAAGAAAAACAAGUUAGAUAUGAUAAAAGCAACCAAUCUGUGUAACUCUGGAAAUCUUUUCUCUAUAGCAAAGAUCUUCAGACAUUAUAGUGAAAGACUUGUUUCCUACAACUAGGAAGAUGGAACCAUUAGGUUAGAUCUGAUAAGCAGUCAUAGCUAUCGAGAAGUAAAAAAAAUAGGGUUAAAAUAGAUGCAUAUGGGAUUAAUUGUAAUAAGAAUCAAAGGUAUGCACCGAGAAGGCCUUGGGACGAAAACCUUUGUCUCUCUCUAUGAUUCUAGGUUCACAAACCUAGAAAAAACAAUCCCAAGAUGCAUGAAAGUAGAAAUGAAUAGAAAAAAACAACUAGUUUACUUUGUGCCAGAUUAUCUUAAUGCUACAAGAGAUUUCUUCAUAGAAAUCAAAUUAGCAAUCAAGACCAGAGGAUAUGAAAUGAAAAAGGGCACAGAAAAUUUGCUUAUUCAUGUAGGAUUUAUUGGUAGGUUGAGCAACAAUAAUACAACCAAUUUCAAAAUGUGUGAAAAAUGACCUUAUUUCCACUCUUACCUUUAAAGGUAUUAAAGCUAUACCUACAAAACAAUUCUUGUCAAAUUUAAAUGUAGGGUUAGACUGGAAAAUAGAUACUCAGUCUCUCUUACGAAACCAAAUUCUUGUUCCUCAAAAGUCAUUAAUGUAUAAAGAUGUCCAUGAUAAUAUUAGCGCCAAAUUCACUAAUUACAUAAAGCAAGGAGCAUCAUCUAAUGAUCAAAAUUUAUUAAAUGAAGAAUUGGAAGAAAAUAUUUCCACAACUUUUGUUAGUUCUCCAAUAAACAUAGAAGAAAUGAGAGAAAUGUUAGAUAACGAGUUCAAAAAACUCAUGAUAAUACAUAAUCAUGAUUAUGAUAAAGUGAUGAACAUUUAUCAAGAAAUGUAUAAUCUCGAUUAUCUAGAUGACAUUAUUAAAGGAGUCAAACAACCCUAUAAUGUCCUUAAAAAUAAAUCGACUGAUAUCGUGUUCAUGGAAGCAAAGUCUUUUGUAACUGAAAAGUCUAGACCAACUUGGGUCGUUCCUCCACCAAGGAGUAUAGACCAAGAAUUGCCAAGAAGAUUUCCAAGGCCUCCAGAAAUUCAUCUGUUGUUUAACAAAGGAAACUCUUAUAAAAAGAAGAUAUAUCCUUUAAAGGCUAUUGGAAACUUGCUCAUUGCAAAUACUAACAAAAGCCUGUUGCACUACUUAUGACCCUCAGUCUAGGUCAGAGCUAAUAGACAUAUGGGAAGCAGAUGCAAUAAGAGCAUGGUUCGCAUAUCAUGGCACCACCAGUAUGUGGGAGUUUAUGACCACAUUACUAAGAGAAACAGUAAUGAACAUAUUUGACUGUUUCAAAAGGGAUUAUCUAAUAAGAUUCUCUUAAUGAACCAUUUUAUGUGCCAUUGGCAUCCAAAAAUCUUCUUUAGGUGGUUUACAGACUUAAGUUCCCAAACAAAACUAUCCAAGUCCUUAAAGUAAUGAUUGACAUUGGAAGCUCGAAAUCUCAUCUUGAUAUCUCUCUUGUCCCUCCAAAGUGCAACUCUCAACUCAUAGUCUCUCAAUCUGCUUCUAUAAUUACCAAUGAAAAAAUGGUUUUUACUGAUUGUUUAAGAGAUUCUCAAAUUUCCUUCUUAACCCCUACCAAUAAUGUUGAAUGGUAUCCACUUUCUCAGCCAUGGCUUUUCUUGUUAAACACAACUUUAAAUUUCUCCUAGGCCUUAAUUUCAUUCAUUCUCAUAAAGGAGGUCUCCUCUUAAUAAGUGACUUUUUUUUCAGUUUUCAAGCGAGUCUCCAUAACUCCUACUCACUUCCUACUUAGCCAAAAAAUUGCAUUAGAAUUGACAGUUAAGGACUCAACCAUCUUUCGAAUGUUGCAUCUAUUCUCGAUGAUGCACCACAUCCGUUUAAGACAGUGCAAGUCGAGAAACAAACGACAGAAAUUGCCUCAAUGGCGUCAUUAUCUGUCCAACAACUUCAGGACAUGAUAACUAACACCAUUAGAGCAUAGUAUAGUGGACUCUCAUAGAUUACGCUCAUGUACUCUAAGUCUUACACUAAGAGGAUUGAUAGCCUACGUAUGCCUAUGGGUUAUCAACCUUCAAAGUUUCAAUCAUUUGAUGGGAAAGGAAAUCCAAAACAACUUAUUGCCCAUUUCGUUGAAACUUGUAACAAUGCAGGUACAGAUGGUGACUUGUUAGUCAAAAAAUUUAUUCAUUCUCUUCGAGGGAAUGCUUUUGAUUGGUAUAUAGACCUUGUACCUGAGAGUAUCGAUAGUUGGGACCAAAUGGAACGCGAAUUCCUCAACCGUUUCUAUAGCACUCAACAAACUGUAAACAUAAUGGAGCAUACUAAUACUAAGCAAUGGAAAGACGAGUCGGUUGUAGACUCCAUCAAUCGUUGGCAUUCCUUAAGCUUUGACUACAAAGAUAGAUUAUCCGAGGUAUCAGUUGGAGAGAUGUGUAUACAAGGAAUGCAUUGGGGUCUUCUUUACAUCCUCCAAGGGAUACGACCCCGUACCUUUAAAGAGUUAGCUAAUCGAGCACAUGACAUGGAGCUCAGCAUAGCCAACCAUAAUGCUAAGAAGGACCUUAUCAUUGACAGGCAAAGAAAAAGACACAAUGGGAAAACAAGUGACAAGACCUCAAUAAAACCCAUCCAAGAGUCAAUAACGGUUAAUACAAUGUCCAUCAAAAUCUCAACACUAGAUAAAAAGAAAUAAGUAAAAAAUGUUGGACCAACCCAAGAAAAUGAGAGGUGAUUGUUCACCUUCAAGGAAUUAGAGGAGAAAAAAAUAUCAUUUUCCUAACUCUGAUGUGCCUAGCAUGCUGAAAGACUUGCUCUAGAAAAAUGUUAUUAAGCUACCUGAGUACAAGCUACCAAAAAAAAUGGGUUGUGUAAAUGAUCCAAACUACUAUCAUUAUCAUUGAAUCAUCAGUCACCCGGUGGAAAAAUGUUUCAUCUUAAAAGAUCUCAUUAUGAAACUUGUAAAUGAAGAAAGAAUUCAUCUUGAUCUAGAUGAAGUAGUAUAGUCAAAUCAUGCUAUAGUCACAUUUAGAUCAUUCGAUCCUGAUUCAUUACAUGUUCCACCUAAGACACUAGGGGCAUGCACUGAUACUAUCUAAUGCAAGUCACUGAAACCAAAGAAAACACAAGUAUCAUGCCAGGACACUAUUAUUCACUUCUAGUUUGAUAAUGAAUCAAUGUCAUAUAGCGAAGAAGGUUAGACAUUGGUGAUAUGAAGAAUACCUCACAAGAAGCAAGAAUCUCACCCAAUACUCGAAUCUUCCUAGGAAUGAACAACAUAAGCAAAAUAUUCGUUGAUAUCCGAAAAAGAAAUAAGAAAACAAAACAAAAGAUUAUAUAGGUUGAUGACCUCUUGGCGAAAAAGCUCAUCACCCCUAUCACCUUAAGAGAAUACUUCCCUCCAGAGUUUUUUGAUAGAGGGAUGAUGACAUCAACUCAUAUGGUCUCUUGUCAUGAGACUUCAGAAGAAGAUGAGCCAAUUGAAAACAAAAGAAGUGCUUUUGGUGUAAAGUCGAGCAAAACCAAGGAAGAAGAUGAGGUAGUAGCAAACCCAUAGUGGUUACCCCCGCUCUUCAGUAUCCAUGAAAUGCUACAACUUCCUGAGGAAACACGAAUUGCAUUAAAAAUGAAUGGAGCAAAACAAUUUGAGGACAAAGGCCACAAUUGUGCGAAAUGUUGAAAACAUCACCUUUUCCAAUGGCGAUGAAGAGAGCAUGACAUCAAAUUUUACCACAAUUUUUUCAAACCUCGACCCUCCAGUGAUGCUCUUUAAAACAUAAGCCUAAACUGCAUAUUGCCCUUAUCCUACAAGAGCUUAAACUAUAGUUUAAAAAAAAAUUUAAAAAAAAUCUUUCUUGGCAAACUUCUUAAACUAAGGAACAAACUCUUUAUAUUAAAGAAGUUAAAUUUAGAGAUUCUAAACUAAAAUCUCCAACUUCUCAAAAUACAAGUGUUCUUUUCUUUCAGCAUGAGGCGUUCUAAAAAAUAAUAUAUAACCCAGAAGCUAAAUCCAAAAAUGAAGCUUCAAAAGUGAAUAUCAAACUCCAAACAUUCUUCAACAAGCUCGUGGAAGAACAUGAAACACAAACAAAAGUGUCACUCAUCCAUUUUCAAAGCUAAAGAAGACAAGGUUGGGUGUUUCAAAACACUUAAUGAAACUAUUGAUAAGUUUAUUUGAGAUCAAGUCAUCAUUGAACCUCACUUAAACUUUGCUCUAAGAACACGUGUUUACCACCCUUAGAUUAAAAUCAAGUCCAAGCUCGACACAUUCUUCAACAAGCCUAUGGAAUAAUAUCGAACACAAUACGAAAGUGUCAUUCAUCUACCUUCAAGGCUGAAAAAAAAAUCAAAACAAAUUCAGAGGACCUUCUUUUGUUCUCUAAAAUGCUUAUGAAAGGUCUUCAUAGAAAUGGUGUGUUGCACUACAUCGAGGUGAUCUACACUUUCCAUGUACUUCUCAACCUGAGACUUUAAUGGUGAAGGGUCCACUCUAGUCUUUGUGAUAGCAUUGAAAAGCUCAUUAAUUUUUCCUCCCAAUAAUGGGAGACACUCAUUGGAAGUUUUGAUAAUCAUCUCCUUAAUGUCUUCUCCUAUCAUAAGUGUUGUUUGCAUUAGGCAUUAAGGAUGAUUUGUUCAAUGUCAAAUGUGUGAAUGGGAGUAAAAUGAGCCACAAUAGUAGGGUAUGGAUAUUGUUGCUCAGCAAUUAAAUCUACAACUGAUAAAAAUGUCAAUUCAUCAUAUGUUGUAUGUCCAAUUGUGGUCUCUUGACUUGGAGAUUCAAUCAAAACAUCACUUAAGAUGUUAGUAAUACCUUCAUCACCCAAAUUAGAAUGAGGCAAAGGUAAUGGGAUGAUAAAGUGAUCCUCUCAUUAUAUAGUUAGGGUAAAGGGCGUUGACUUCCUAGUAGCAGCAACACUUUCAAAUCGAUCCUUAGGAGAGAACUCAUCCCUUUCAUCAACGAAUUGGUUGUCACCCUCCACCUAAGACAAAUAUUUAUUUUUGUUAGUAUUAAUGCAAAGAAAAAAUUUACCUCUUGACUAUCAAGUUCCAUCAGUUGAAUAGAAGUUGGGACGUCAGCAAAGAAGACAUCCACAUCAAGAGGAUAAGAGUUAGUCUCAUCAUAGUACACAAGGUUGGGUCUAAUCUUUCGGCAUUUGAAGUGACAUUCACUUGUAUCUUCAAAGUUUUCGUUUGAUACAUAAAGACCCUAUGCAUUGUUAUGUUGAUUAAAAGUCUUGUGAUAGUGAGCACUACCACCAUUGAAAAUAGUUUCUUCAUGUUCCAAGUGUGUGGAGGUAUUAGUUUGAUGACUACCCAUUGAGCGCUUAAAAGAAGCUCUUGAAUUAUUAGGUAAAUUAUCAAAAUCCUUCUCAACAUUGUCUCUAACGUUCCCCUUAGUAGAAACACUUAAGUCAACCUUUCGUGUUCUACUCUCUAAAGAUUUUGAGGGUAUUUUCCGAGAAUAAUCAAGAAAGGGCUCCAUACAAGUAGCAGUAAGAAUUUCCUUCUCAGGAUUACACACUCUGAUCCACCAAUCUGCAUAAGCCUUGGUGUCUGAAAACUCUUCAAGACUAUGAUAAUAUGGUAUAGUAACUUUGGAGUAGGUACCAAGCCUAGUUCAUGACUCCCAAUGUUGAUAGACCACCUCUAUAGUUCCAAUGCGAAAAAUCUUUAGCAAACCCCUCAAAAGGUCUUGAGGAUAAUACGGUUGGAUCACCUGAUGGUUACCUUGUCACAAGGAUAAAUAGCUAGAGCGAAGACUUAUGAUAUAAGAGGCUUUGGUAACACUAAUAGAUUCAUCAUUAGUCCAGUGCACAUGCUCUUUGUGACGCAAUGCCAAGUGGUCCAGUUUUAUGCCUUUAUAAGACAUUAUCAAAGCCUGAGCUUGCAAAUCAUAAAAACAUUUAACAUAAAACUCGCCAGCGUAAUAAGUCACUUAUGAAGAAUAGUUCCAAGAAGGAGAAAUGAAAUGGGUAUCGAAAUAUUCACCUAACCAUCCGUAUAAAUAAGGAAUAGGGAAAAUAGAUGCAUUAGUCCCAAGCUUCGAAAAAUAAGUGAUUUCAUUUAAGUCGUUGUAAGUGCUUGGUAACACCUGAACAACAAGGAUAAAUGUCUCACCUUGAGCCAUUCUACUAGCUACCUUGAAGACUCUAAGACAAAUCAAAUUGACACCUACCCCCCCCCCCCCUCCUCCCCCGCAAAGAAGAAUGAACUUGCAUAACCAACAUGCCAAGAAAACGGCCAAGUAAGUUUCCUUAACAUCUGCCUCGAUUACACUAAGGUCGUCAAAAACUUCAUUCUCCAACCGAGUACAAGAUUUAAUAUGAUCAAUUUCCUCUGUGGGGUUAUGAGUCUCCUUAGGCCUUUGCGCCUUAUUCCUUGUAUUUUUCUUUAGGGGUUUUACAUACUUCAUGGAGCCUUUGUACCAAAAUGACACCCAAGAGGCUAACUUGACUAAAGACUUCCCUUUUGUCUCAAAGCAAAUUUAUUGAUAUGCAAGGAAUAAGUUUUGACAACUUGGUGGGAGUGAGGACUUUAUUGCAUCAUUAGAUAACUCUUCCGCACUCGGUACCAUCUCAUCAUAAAAAGAUCCAAUAAUGGGUAGUCCAUCAAUACUGUACAAGCUCCAAAUAGAGAUGGAAACUUCUCCAAUGAAAGUAUGCAAGGUGUUAAUGGUAGGAUACCAACGUUCGCAAAAGGCCCUAAUCACAGAGGCAUGACGAUCAUAACUUAAUAGGGAUGCAAAAAUGGCUUCAUAAAGCUUGCAUCCUUUAAGAUAUGGUUCAUGCCAACCCAAUACAUCAUCUAUCCAUUCCCAAUAUCCUUCGGUAAAGAAGGAUUCCCCAAGUAACUUAAAGGAGCUUCCCCAUUUGGCUUCUUCGUCAUGAACACAAGAACCCAAUAAUCCAAAUUCAUCAUGAACUUCAAUAGUAAUUGGGUGAGAAGAAUUCAGCAGUAGAACAUCAAAAACAAGUUUCACCUUAUUGAGUUUUGAAUUGUUGAUAUUUGUAAGCUUGCAAGAUGCAACUCGGGACCAAGAAGAAAUGUGUAAUGGAUUGUUUAUCACUAGCACUGACAAAGAUUGAAGGUUAAUAAGUGACUUAUGCACUGACAAGGUAGUCCCUUCCUCAAAAUCUUCCCUAUCAUCCUCAAGAAUGGUUACAGUCUUCUCCUUGAAACAUUUGAAUAACGCCAUCCUACACACACAAAAAUAAAAAUGUUAGAAACGGAGAUGAAUAAAAUAUGGGUCUAAGUUUUUAGAUACGAUUAUGCAUUUAAGUCAAGCCAAUUUGCAUGGGUGAAGACUUUAGUACAUAAGUGCUGAAAAUAUAACACCGCGUAACAUUAGGGCCAUAACUUGUUUGCAUAGAUACCAAGUAUUAUUCUAGUUUUAAUUAAAUGUUAAAACUUGAACACCACUAUGCAUUCAAGUUAAGCCAAUUUUCAUGGGUGAAGACUUUAGCACAUAAGUGUCGAAAUACAACACUGUUUUGCGUCAGGGCUACAACUUGAUUACAUAAGGGUCAAACUUUAAAUAUUUAUUUUUUAUGGAUAUUUAAAUUUAUUAAAAAUUCACCCUCAAGUAUUAAGGUAAUUUAAAAAAAAUAUUAAAUUACCUGAAAUCAAAUUCGUCUUUACAAAUGAUGAAGGCCGACACAUGUUCGAAAAAGGUAAGUUUUUUUCUUCCUUGAAAAAAAAAAGUUAGCAAAAAAAAAGAAUUGAAUAAAUAAGGAGAACAUGUGUCAACAUAUAUAUAUAUAUAUAUAUAUGGAAAUCACUUAUGGAAGGUUUGACUUUUUCCAUGCAUAUUAUAUAUAUUAAAAGAAAAUCUCCACCACUUUUUUAGAAGAUUAUAUAUAUAUAUAUAUAUAUAUAUAUAUAUAUAUAUAUAUGCCAAUGAUGAUGUCCCCAAGGCAACCACCAUUGUGGCUCACGUUUCCACUGAAUUAUGCAUGCACACCAUAAACGGCCUCCUAUACUCGACCAUUGUUGAUGCCACCCCACUACUUGAUGUUGAACGCCAUGGCAGAUCUCCAAUGCAUAUAUAACAGAAAAACAAAAAACAAAAAAACAAAAAAAAAACUUAUAGGUUUGAAGAGGUGAAGACUUCUCACGGUGAAUUCAAGUUGAGUUUCUUAAAAUUGGGUUAAAGAUCACCUAAAAAAAUUGAAAGAAUUUUCUAAAAUAAUUCAAGUCAAGUUUCUCAAGUUGGGUCGAAGAACACCCAAAGAUCAAAAGAGCUCUCUGAAAAAGUUUAAGUCAUGUUUCUCAAUUAUUGCCCUUUAUAUAUAUAUAUAAAUGCAUAUAGGGAUGACAAAUUGGUAGAGGAUUCAAAGUGUAAAGUAAGAAGGAAAACGAAUUGGAAGAGAAUUCAAAGUGUAAAGCAAGAAGGAAAAUGAAGUAGAGUUUGGAAGAAAGUGGGAAAUAAAUAUUUUUUUGAAAAAAAAAUAGGAAAUUUCUUAUUAAAAUAUUUCUUUGAAAAAAAAAAUUACUUCAAGACCCACCAUUUCCACAUGACAAUGCAUGUACAUGAUGCAUCCUGAAGUAGGGGCAUUUGUAAACAUAAAAAUUUUAGUGGAUUAAAUUAUCACUAAUUUAGUCUUCAAAAUGCAUAAAUAAUAUAUAUAUAUAUAUAUAACAUAUAUCCUCUUAUGGAUAAGUUUCCUUAAUCUCCAACUAUAAAAAUGAUAAUAAUAACAAAUAAAUUAUUAUUAUUAUUAUUAUUAUUAUUAUUAUUAUUAUUAUCUUGUUGGUAAAACCAUUGGGAGAAGAAAAUGUGUUAAAAUCAAGGAACUAUAUCCCUUGAAUUAAGCAACUAAACUCCGGGAAUUCAAAAUUCAAAUUCUAUAUCUUCACCUAUAAAUAAAAGUCUAUUAUUUCAAGAAGGGGAGAAAAAUGGAAGUGAUUCGCAUGUAACUCCAAAUGGGUCAUUUAAUCAAAAACAUUUAUAAAACCUAUGACCUCAUACUAGUGUAGCAAAGCUACUAUAGUAUAGUGGCUCUAGGGUCGAACUCUGGGAUGGGUUUUCAUUCUACCAGUGAUAUACUCAUGAUUAUGAAUUGAAUUUAAUGAUUUCCUUUAUAAAAAAAACUUAGAGUUUAAAAGAAAAUAAAAUUUGUUUUGAAAGUGUUUGAAACUAAAUUAACAUAAACUAAUUAAAAAUGGAAGAAGGAAAGUCUCCCGGAGCUCAGGAUUGUUAGGAUCAAGUUUAGAAUGCAAAGUGGAAAAUUCCGGAUUUUUCUCCUCGCAUUGGGGAUUUAACCUAUAGUUAUUUCCCGAACCGGUAUAGGUUUAACAAUGAAGAUUUAAUCCAUAAUAAUCAAUAUAAAUGGUAGUCAAAGUCCAUUAAUGGCUUUAGACACUAUAGGUCUUCACCUUGAACCGCUUUCCAAUGACUCGUACAUGAUAACUAAUGGACUAAUAUGGAUCUAGCAAUAAGCAUCCAUAAAGACCUGAAGCUUACCAUGUAUUGGUCAUUCAAAGUGAUUCUAAGGGAUUUAAAGCAAAACUUUGGAUUUAAAAGCCAUUUAUGAAUUCCAACUACCUGAAUUUAAUGCACGAGCGUUUUCCACCUUGCAUCUGGACUUUUCACCUAGCUUCCAUCACUCCAAGAAACCGAAAGUUUAGCCUCUCAUCCUCCGGGCAAACAUCCUUAGAGGUUGUUUGGCUUCCAAGAAAAAGAAAAUAGUAAAGAGCAAAGAGAACGAGAGAGCUCUGUAAAAUUCUAAGUGUAAAAACGUAAUACGUAUUCCAUAUAUUCCAAGAGGUAAUUUCCACCCCUUAUAUAGUCUUUACAAAAGCAAAAGCUUGUGAUUGGUUAGUUACAAGGAUAAGAAAGGAAAUUACAUCAAAAAAUACAUAGGAAAAUAUCUAAAGUGGAGUCGGCAAAAACAGAGCAAAAUUUGCACCACGCAAGGGGUGUGCGAAAUUUUCGCACACCUGAAGAAGGUGUGCGAAUUUGGCACACCAUUCGCACAGCUAAGAGGGUGUGCGAAAUUUUCGCACACCUGGAGCAGUUGUCUUCCGAAAGCCAUAUCUUCCUCGUUUCAGCUCCAAAUCAUACACGGUUUGAAGCGUUGGAUUCUUGACUUCCUGAGCUUUGAAAUGGUAUAUAGCAUGUAGAAAAUGGACUUCGGGAAGUGCUCCAAAAGUGCCAACGAAGACUGCAGCUGCUGUCCUCUGUUUUCCUCCUUGCUUCUCUUUGCUUUUCUCCUUUGAUUGGCUUGUCUUAAUGAUCCAAAAAGAUGUCAAAACACUAAAACUAGCCACAAAUAUGAUUAGAAGACAUUGCUAGGUCCUUAACAUGCCAAUUGGACUAAAGAUGGAGAACUACUACACAAAAGUGCUUAAAACAUAAUGCAUUAAAGGUGUAAAAUAGCACUUUUUGGGUAGUAAUCACUCCCCCCAACUGACACAUUGCUAGUCCCUGAGCAAUGAAGGAUAGAAAAAGAAGGAAAAAUAGAUAAUAUAAUAAUUUACAAAAUCAUGUUGAUCACUCCAAAAAAUAACCAAGUGGCAUGAUUGGAUCAAACACUCUCGUGGCAAGUCAAGGAUAUAAAACUCAAUCAUCAACACGAGUCAUCAAAUAACUUACUUAUCACAACAUUCAAAGAGCGGCCAUUAUGCAAAUUUGAGUAUCAAAAUAAUUUCCACUUCCAAAGGAUCAAUUCUUAAUAUUCCACAAAAAUCUAAGUGUUAAGGCGCUUAGUUUCCAGUUAUAGUAUGUCAAACUAUAUUCUCCCCCCAACUAAGGUUUUUCUCCAACGUUAGCAACACUAACUCAUAUAUAAAAGGCUAAGAACGCACCCUUCCUUCUCUUCUUUUUUUUUUUUUUUUUUUUUUUUUUUUUUUUAAAGUGUCACUACACCCAUCCACCCAUGUAACGAGCAGUGAGGUCGGUGAACUCCCAACCAGUAAAGGCUUAGGGCACCAGGCUUUAAAGAUUUUCACCAUAUACCCCUCGGACCUUGCUCGGGUUUCAAAGCAAGUGAAGCAAAAAUUUGGCCUUUAAUAAGGUGUCCCAACACUAAUAGAAUGAGGUCAAUGGCACCAAGUCGAUAAUUUCCAAAGUUUAGGGGGAGUGAGAAAGUUUUCCAUCUUAUAACUGGAAUCUAAUGUGUUCAGUGUGUGAAAAGAUUAGAGUGGAAGACUUAAGCUUGAAAACAAAAGAAGCUUCAACAAUUUAUCAACUUUAAUAAGCAUAAUACAAACUCUGAGUACAAACUCUGAGACUAUGGCAAUAAGAUAAGAAUUUAAUUUCUCCCAUUUACUUUUGAGAAUUUAUCUUUGAGAAAACAAAGAGAGUUUGCAAAAAAUUUGUUAGCAAAAUAACUUAACAAAUUCAACAAAUUACUUCCUCAACUCUCCCCCCAACUAAGAUGAACAUUGUCCCCAAUGUUCCAAAAGCAAGCGAUAAAAUAAGGGAGGAAGUGAUACCUCCUGAUAGUAAGGGACUCUGAAUGAACAGGAGAAACCACAUGUUGCAUAAGAAAAGGAAAAUCAUAAGAGUGAUGAAAAUAGGAAAUAAAAUGGAAUAGCUAAAAUACACUAAAAGAGAAGAUGUCUAUAUAAACUGAGAAAGUACAAUAUACAAAAUAAACAUGGAAUACAUCCAAUCCCAGUAUAAAAGUGGUCCAAAAUAUAUAAGACAUCCCAAAACGUAGCAUAUAGAUACAAAAAAGGAGAGGAGUGAUCGUAUGAUCAAGUAGUAGGCUCCUCUGGUGGAUAGGAGGGGUCCUCCGCUGCAACUGUGGAAGGCACCGCUACAGGUGGAACUGGUGGCACAAGACCGAGGUGCUGCUGAAUCUCACGGAGAAUGAGAGUCUGCUGGUCCUACUGAGUCUGGAAGUGGUCCAUGCGCUCCAUAAUGGCCGUCUGAGUAGUGGUCAAAGUCUGGAAAGAAGUGAGCAAGGCACGAUACUCUGGACCAGGGAUAGUAAUGGGCGGCUCUGAUGUAGGAGGAACAACAGGUGGGGCAUCAGAUGAUGCUGCCUCCGGUACUGGCUGUGGGGGGUCUGUAGUGGACGGAGCAGGAGGGACUUCCCUUGGCUCGGGAAGUUCUGGAGGCUGGCGAUGGAGCCAUAUCUGAGUCCAUUGGUCAAGAGAGAAGCUCUCUCGACAAUGGCGGCGGGGCUCUGAACGAGGGUCUGUAGGAAAACCCAUAUGCGCCAAAACAUGGCAUAGCAGCCGAGGGAAAAGUAAAGGAAUGGAGUCUGCCCUCGCAAGAUGCCGCGUAUGCACCUUCUCCUCAAAAUGGAGGAGAGCGGCCAUAAUCAAAUGAUGGGGGCCAAAAUAGUAGCCCUCAGAGAUACGGAAUAAUGCCUCCAUAAUGGCCCCUCGUCUCUGUACUUUAUGCUGAAGAGGAAAAAGAUUGGCGCGAAGCACCACAUCAACUAGGAGCAUCUCUGAGGGAAGCUCUCUCCUCAAAAUGGUCCUCUGGGAAGAUGUCCCUCGAGAUAGGAUACGAACCAUGUCCCACUCAGAAAAUGGGACCCAGCGUCUAAAUGUAGUGGGAUCUACUGGUGCAAAAGGGAUAUGGAAGGCAUCGGCAAUCUGUCUCACCCCCAAAAUACUCUGGCGUCCAUCAAUGGUAAAAAGGAUCGAGGCAGGUACCGGGACGCCACGAGUAGUCAUAGACUGGUAAAAGUCUAAAGCUACUCGAGGAUAAAAGAACUGGGGCAGAGUCAUAAAGGGUAUAAGAUGGUACCUCUCAAGUAGGCGGUAUGAAUCCCGCAACUCAGGCUGCUGUCGCAUAAGAGAGUGAUCGAAAUAUGCCUCGACAUGAAAGUCUCUCGAUCGGCAAUCUGAAUUGCCCUCAAUGGGCAAGCUGGGUCUACGGCGCCUGGCGGAAGAAGGCUGAGACUGUGAAUCCCGAGGUGCUCUGGAGGAAUCUCCUGGCUCUGAAGUCUUGGCUCUCUUUGUAGGAGGACUCCGAGGCGGAACUUGUGGUGGGGCCACAGACGUGGCAGAUGCUUUCCUCGUAUGGUAUCUGCUCUGAGGGGCAGAAUCAGGUAAAUAUGAGGGUGCAACUAGUGGGGCCCGCACAGGGGCAGCUCUCUGACUGCUCUGGGAGGCUGUGGUAGAUCCUCCUCGGGUCUUCGGCAUGAUGGAGCGAUGAAAUGAGGCGCAGAGGCUUGGGAUUAGGGAAGGUAGGGAUGGAGAAGCUGAGAUUUUUGCACCGGGGGGGNNNNNNNNNNNNNNNNNNNNNNNNNNNNNNNNNNNNNNNNNNNNNNNNNNNNNNNNNNNNNNNNNNNNNNNNNNNNNNNNNNNNNNNNNNNNNNNNNNNNGGGGGGGGGGGGGGGGUCCUGUGCGAGAAUUUCGCACAGGGGAGGGGGGUGUGCGAGUUUCGCACACCUCAAGGGGGUGUGCGAAAUUUUCGCACAGGUUACUAUUCACCCGUGCGUUUGAAGAAUUGGGGCUUGUUUGAGAUGGUGAGAAUUUGUGGCCUUUGAGGGUGGGAAAAGCUGGCUUAGGUAUGAAAAAUAUUUGUCAUGAUGAAUAAGCUUGAAAAUUGGGAGCUUUUCAAGAGGGAAAUUGAAGAUUGGGAGCUCCCAUGGCCAGCGGCAAUGGGUUUCUUAUGAAGAAACCAUGGCUUGAAUGCUUAUGGUUUAGGCUUUGGUUUGGUAAGAACAAGGUUUGGAUUGGAUUGUGGAUGGAUUUAGAGGGUUGGGUGAAAAUUUGAAAGGAUUUUGAUGGUGGAAGGAGAUGAAAUUGCCGAAAAUGGGAAGUGGUGAAUAGUGGAUGCCGCGGCUAUGGAGUGGAGCUAUGGAUAAUGGCUGCCAUAGUGGUGCUGAUGAUGAUGGAUGAUGAAGGAAAGGAGCUUUGUGGAUGGAAAUGGGUGAUCGGAAGAGAGGCUUUGAGAGAAUUGAAGAAGAAGCUAAGAUUUUGAAGUGGAGAACAAAGCUUUUAAAGAGAAAAAUGAAUUUCGCACAGGGGAAAAUGGUGUGCGAAAUUUUCGCAUACCUGUGAUUCUCCAAGACAGAGAGCAUGGUUUUGAAAAUUGGCGCAAAAAACGAAUUCGCACAAGGUUCGCACAAGGUUCGCAUUCCUGUGAAAUUCGCACAGGGGACCGAGAGCAUGUAAUUUUUGAAAAGUGGUGCAAAAAUGGAAUUCGCACAGGGUAAAUGGUGUGCGAAAUUUUCGCACACCACAAGGGGGUGUGCGAAUUUUGCUGAGCCUUGUCUUAUCUCCCNNNNNNNNNNNNNNNNNNNNNNNNNNNNNNNNNNNNNNNNNNNNNNNNNNNNNNNNNNNNNNNNNNNNNNNNNNNNNNNNNNNNNNNNNNNNNNNNNNNNNNNNNNNNNNNNNNNNNNNNNNNNNNNNNNNNNNNNNNNNNNNNNNNNNNNNNNNNNNNNNNNNNNNNNNNNNNNNNNNNNNNNNNNNNNNNNNNNNNNNNNNNNNNNNNNNNNNNNNNNNNNNNNNNNNNNNNNNNNNNNNNNNNNNNNNNNNNNNNNNNNNNNNNNNNNNNNNNNNNNNNNNNNNNNNNNNNNNNNNNNNNNNNNNNNNNNNNNNNNNNNNNNNNNNNNNNNNNNNNNNNNNNNNNNNNNNNNNNNNNNNNNNNNNNNNNNNNNNNNNNNNNNNNNNNNNNNNNNNNNNNNNNNNNNNNNNNNNNNNNNNNNNNNNNNNNNNNNNNNNNNNNNNNNNNNNNNNNNNNNNNNNNNNNNNNNNNNNNNNNNNNNNNNNNNNNNNNNNNNNNNNNNNNNNNNNNNNNNNNNNNNNNNNNNNNNNNNNNNNNNNNNNNNNNNNNNNNNNNNNNNNNNNNNNNNNNNNNNNNNNNNNNNNNNNNNNNNNNNNNNNNNNNNNNNNNNNNNNNNNNNNNNNNNNNNNNNNNNNNNNNNNNNNNNNNNNNNNNNNNNNNNNNNNNNNNNNNNNNNNNNNNNNNNNNNNNNNNNNNNNNNNNNNNNNNNNNNNNNNNNNNNNNNNNNNNNNNNNNNNNNNNNNNNNNNNNNNNNNNNNNNNNNNNNNNNNNNNNNNNNNNNNNNNNNNNNNNNNNNNNNNNNNNNNNNNNNNNNNNNNNNNNNNNNNNNNNNNNNNNNNNNNNNNNNNNNNNNNNNNNNNNNNNNNNNNNNNNNNNNNNNNNNNNNNNNNNNNNNNNNNNNNNNNNNNNNNNNNNNNNNNNNNNNNNNNNNNNNNNNNNNNNNNNNNNNNNNNNNNNNNNNNNNNNNNNNNNNNNNNNNNNNNNNNNNNNNNNNNNNNNNNNNNNNNNNNNNNNNNNNNNNNNNNNNNNNNNNNNNNNNNNNNNNNNNNNNNNNNNNNNNNNNNNNNNNNNNNNNNNNNNNNNNNNNNNNNNNNNNNNNNNNNNNNNNNNNNNNNNNNNNNNNNNNNNNNNNNNNNNNNNNNNNNNNNNNNNNNNNNNNNNNNNNNNNNNNNNNNNNNNNNNNNNNNNNNNNNNNNNNNNNNNNNNNNNNNNNNNNNNNNNNNNNNNNNNNNNNNNNNNNNNNNNNNNNNNNNNNNNNNNNNNNNNNNNNNNNNNNNNNNNNNNNNNNNNNNNNNNNNNNNNNNNNNNNNNNNNNNNNNCUUCCUCCCCUUUCUCAUUCUGGACCACAGUGAUUCCAGAUUUCUUGGGGACUACUUGGGUGGGGCUCACCCACAAACUGUCUGAAAUGGGAUAUAUGAUCCCAGCUUGGAGUAGCUUCAGAACUUCACCCCUCACCACCUCUUGCAUGUGAGGAUUCAACCUCCUCUGGGGCUGCCUCACUGGUUUUGCAUCAUCCUCCAUAUAGAUAUGGUGGGUGCACACCAAAGGGUUAAUCCCUUUCAGAUCAGAAAUUUGCCAUCCAAUGGCUUUCUUGCAUUUCCUGAGGACUCCCAAAAGAUUAUCCUCUUGAUCAAUAGUAAGAGUUGAAGAAAUCACCACUGGACAUUUCUCAUUUUCCUCCAAAUAUGCAUAUUUCAAAUCAACAGGAAGUGGCUUCAAAACAAGUUUUGGAGGGUCCUCCACAGUUGCUUCUUGUGAGUCUUCUUGAUUGAACAGUGGUAAGAUCUCUUCCCGUCUCCUCCAAGGAGACAUGAUGGCUAGAACAUCAGAGGGUUCAGGUAACCCUUCUUCAAACAUUUCAAGGCUUUCACUCAAGCUCUCUUGUAAAUUCUUGUCACAAUGCUCUUCAACCAAGGUGUUGAUCAAGCACACCUCCUCCAAUCCUUCCUCUUCUUCUGGGUGAAGAUGCCUCUUGCAUAGGUGGAAUAUGUUUAAUUCCAAGGUCAUAUUCCCAAAUGUGAGCUGCAUCACCCCAUUUCUACAAUUGAUAAUGGCAUUGGAGGUAGCUAGGAAAGGUCUCCCAAGGAUGAUUGGUACAUAGUUUGCUUCCUUCACAAUGGGAUCAGUAUCAAGCACAACAAAAUCCACAGGAUAGUAGAAUUUGUCCACUUGAACUAGAACAUCCUCUAUCACCCCUCUUGGGAUUUUGACUGACCUGUCAGCUAGGGAGAGAGUGAUGGCUGUGGGCUUCAAUCCUCCAAGUCCCAGUUGCUUGUACACAGAGUAUGGGAGCAAAUUCACACUUGCCCCCAAGUCUAGUAAAGUUUUCUCAACAUGUGUCCCUCCAAUGUUGACUGAAAUGGUGGGGCAUCCCGGAUCUUUGUACUUAACUGGAGACUUACUCUGAAUGAUAGCACUUACUUGCUCAGUGAGGAAUGCAUUCUUUGUCACAUGUAACCCUCUCUUGACCGUGCACAAGUCCUUUAGAAACUUUGCAUAUGUGGGGACUUGCUUGAUCAUAUCAAGUAAGGGUAUAUUCACCUUCACUUGUCUCAAGACUUCAAGAAUUUCUGAUGAAUUCUUGAUUUCCUUCUUUCCAUGUAAAGCUUGAGGAAAAGGGGGAGGCAUAUGUUUCUUCAUCAUAUCCUCUUUAAUCACUAUCCUUGGCUCUUCUUCAAUGCUUGAUUUGGAGGCACUUUUCUUCCCACUCUUCUCUUCUUGGUUAUUGCUCUCUUUGACCAAGGUUUUCUUUGACAUGAGUUCUUCAUCUUGCCUCAACUUAGGCAUGGGUUGAUCAACCUCUUUUCCACUCCUUAAAGUGAUCACAGCUUUAACCUCCCUCAACUUUGAAGACUCUCCCUCUUGGGUUUCAACUUCAUGAACACCCUUGGGAUUUUGGCUUGGUUGAGAGGGAAACUUUCCCUUCU
rnacentral:lncRNA from 1 species